rnacentral:lncRNA from 1 species
UUUUUUUUUUUUUUUUUUUUGGGUAAGUAGGAAGUUUUAAACGCCAAAACUCUUAUUUACACCGGAGAGAAAUGACUAUAGAAGAACUACUCUAGGACAAAAAUUUCAACCUAGUGACUCAAAAUUCCAUCCAAUUUAAUUUUAAUAAAUAUGGCUAUAUUCAAUUUUGCUGUCAUCACAGCAAAUAUAAGGUAGGAAGUAAUUAAUCUGGAAGAAGAAUGAUAAUCUUUUCAAAUUUGUGAAACACAUGAGUGACUUCUUAAAGGAUAUUCAAAACCAUGUACAUGUGUUUGGAUGUAUAAUUUCAGGGGAAGGGGAUCUUAAUCAUUUAUGCUAUCCAAAACUGGGGGGGAAAAAUGAAUUUCUUGAUUUGAGAUUUAAAAAGGCCUUUCAAGAAUCUCUUGAGCUAAUUUCCCAAAGAGCUCCUGUUUCUCCCCAUCAUGCUCUUUGCACUAUUUCCCCACGAUAAAAUUAAAAUGUAGACCAGCACCAAUAUCUAUUUAUGGAUUUUCAAUGAUUUCUAGGGGGAUCAUUGUAUUUUCCGUGAUGAUGAAAUUGGUAUCUAGCUUUCACUAUUUUCUACACUGACCAAGAGACAGUGAUAAACAGCUAAGUUAUUAUCAUCUGUUGUGUGGAAUUGAGCAAUGGAGAGCAAGAAAACACUGAUUACCCAAAACAUUGUACAAAUCCAAUCAUUUGGGUGAUCAACCACCCUACAAGUUUCACAUGCAUCACAUUCUUUAACCCUAGUUCUACGCGCCCACAACAUCUAAAUUUACUAGUACUAGUACUAAUUAAACAUCUAAAUAUAGCACAUCAGAAGAAAAUUACUAAACCCUAGUCCCAAAUCAUCUAAUCACUCGAAAGCACACCCUAUAGUAAAAUUGUCCUUUAACAAAGAAUUAAUAAUGCCAUAAAAAUCACCCUCACUUCCAACCUACCACACCCCCCCUCUUCCUCCCCACAACCCCCCCCCCCCCCAAAACACCACAAAUGAAAAGGAGGGAAAAAAAAAAAAAAAAAAAAGAGGAGCCCAACAAGCAAGACCUCCUCGUAGGAGGGCAUUCUCGUAACUUCACACCAGUUGAAGUGCAGAAUGGGAUUAUAGGAUUAGAAAAUAUCCAAAAGACAAGUGCAAUCCCUUGGGUCCCCAAGUGUUCUAGGGUCGUGUUCCCAAUUUUACACUCCUUGGGAUGUCCGCAACCAUCUCUCUCUCUCUCAUUAUUCUUUAUCUAUCCUUAUUUCUUACUUCCCACAACAAAACUUUAAACCCUUUUAAACUUGUAUAAAUACCCCUCCACACAUGCAACAUCCCCCUGAAACUCCUCAAGGCUUAAUCCAACAUCGUUCCAUUUUUCCAUUCUAUCCCCUUCCUUAAUUGCUCCUAGCUGUCUCAUUUUCACCUCCAAACCUUAACCCUUUCUUUCUUCUUCUUCUUUUUUUUUUUUUUUUUCCCUCUCUCUCUCUCCAUCUCAUCUUUGUCUCUUUUAUCCAAGCAUAUAUACUCUGUAUUUGAGUUGUAUGGCAGAGCUAGAAUAUCAAAGUAAACCUAGUAAUAAUGGACGUUUAAAACUCUUUGGUUUCAACGUGACAGAUGAAGAAGAGGUGGAUUCAACUAAAACACCAUCAGGGUCACCGGAUUCCGGGGGUUUUCCGGCCUCCGACGGCCGGAAGUACGAGUGUCAAUAUUGUUGCCGGGAGUUUGCCAACUCACAAGCUCUAGGGGGCCAUCAAAACGCUCAUAAGAAGGAAAGGCAACAGUUGAAACGCGCGCAAAUGCAAGCAAGCCGAAACGCUGCUGUUUCAUACAUGCGAAACCCGAUAGUGUCCGCCUUUGCCCCGCCGCCUCACCUCCUUGCUCCGGCUGGUUCCGUGGUGGUACCCGCUGCUGCUCCAGCAUCUCCUUCGUGGGUUUAUGUUCCACGCGCCGCCCCACCCUUCCACGUGUCCCACGGCUGCGUGUUUCCGGCUUCCACGACUGGGAGAGGUGUAGGGAGCGCAUCGUAUGCUGGCAGUGUAGGAGAUUCUAGCUUGACGAGCGUAGGGCCUCAACAAGUCAAGGCCCACAAUGGCAGGCAUGAUGGGCCCUCGUUGAGUAGGUUCUCUAGAGCAGAUGAUGGGCCCGGUUUUGAUGAAGCAUUUGGGUUGGAUUUGCAUCUGAGUCUCGCUCCAGCCGCGCCGUAAAUUUUAGGCUUGACCUGGCUCAAUUGCCUGAGGUUGGCAUUAUAUUCAGCUAGAUGACUUGGUUGGGUCAUCGGUCGAGCUUGGCUUGGUUCGGCUCGCUAAUUUGGAAAAAGCUCAUGUUAAUUUAUCUCGAGCCAAAUCCUGUAAAUUUUCAGAUUUAUUUAUUUAUUUUUUUUUUCUCAGGGAAAAUUUUUCUUGCUUGUUUUGCUGAAUUACUAGUUUCUCCUUCCAAGAUCUACUUUGGUUUGUAACCAAUGUUGUACGUGCAUGUAAAUAUGUUUUCCAAUGAGAAGUAGGGUACAAUUUUUCACAACAAAUAUAGCCCAGGAACUAAAUAUGAUUGCAUAAACAUUGCCUAACUUGAUUAUCUUCAUAUUCAAAAUGGUUUUUAUUUUUUAUUAAUUUAUUUUAAGUGUACGUGAAAGGUUUUGAACUCGGCACCUCUUACUUAUACUCUCUUCUCAAUACCAUCUAACGGUCCCUCGCAGGUGUAAAAUAGUAUGAUUCCUUGUACUUGAGUAACCGCUAUAUUUUAAUAGUUCUACGAUUGCAGAAUAAAAUGAAUUCUGGAGCUCAACUGUAGAUAAGGUGCCAUGAGUCUUUAGUGUUAGCUAGGUUAACUACCGGAUUAUUAAAACCAUAUUUCUGGUUAAGUAUUUUCUUAGGAUAAAAUAAUCCAAGAUCACUAUAUAUGUUAGCAAACACGAAGACAAAAAUCUUGUUAGAUUUCGCCAUUGAAUUUGAGUUUUCUACUCUUUUUUUAUUUUUAUUUUUGAGGUCUUCAUGCUUGGUUUCUCCAUCUCAUUAUACAACUUUAAGCUCCUUCGAAACUAGGAUUAUUCAUCUAAAUCCAACCUAAUCGCUUGUCUUCCCUUCUAUUGUAACCCCAUCAUUUUCAUGGAUGAAAUACCUAAUCUCCUUCCGCUUUGUUGUUUUGCAUUUGAUUAAGUAGUUCGAUUCUGGAGGGGUUUGGUACUUAAUUAAUUGAUCUUUCUUUGAGAGAAGCAUAUACAAAUUAUAACACUAACUAAAAGGACUAGGUCAAAUACGUUGUUUAAUACUGCUUAAUCCUUCCACGUGGAAAUUUGAAACUACAGCAAUUAUAUUAGGUAUUAGACUAUUAAUUACAAGAGCAUCGCUUCUAAGCUUUCAAUGGAAUCCGGAAUUCCUUCUACAGGUUUGCCAUUUCCCGAGUUGCAGGUAAUUAUAAAACACCCAACAAAGUACUUGAUAGUUCUUGUAUAAAUUAUCAUGGCCUUCAACGUGACAAUGUUUUCUUCAAGGCGUUUGAUUAUGUAUGACUGCUUAUAAAAUAAUCAAGUUGCCAUCGAGUUUAGAUCAUUGAUAUCGAUAUCUUCAUUAAUUAAGCUAUUUAGGUGAUUAGUUUUUGAGGAAACUAAAAUAAGCCAUGUUAAGAACCUUCUCUUUUUCUCGCAUUAAAACGAAGGUCAAUUCUCAUUGGUCCCCGUCUCCUCUUACUGCACCUUGUAUCCCUCCCUCCAUGGAAAAUCCCACAAAAGACAAAAAGAAAGAUAUCCCGAUUCUCUCAAUUGGCAGUUUCAUAUAAGAUGCAUUGUAAUUAAAAGGACGUGGAAUUGUUUCAACAGUUUAGACAAUUUUAUGUCUUUGUACAAUUUAGUCAGAACCACGUUACGGGUGAGAAUUUGAUCCAAAUUUGAGUGGCCAGCAAGAUUAUCAUCGAAAUCAAAGGGUAGAUAGGAAACAGAAAGGACUAAAUAGAGUUAGUCCUUUGAUGGCAAGUUUUGGUUUUAGAGUAGCCAAGAAGCGUACUGCUUGCCUUGGCUAGAGGGAAGAAAACAAAAACAAAAAAAAAAAAAAAAGAAGAAGAAGAAAAGUGGAUUGCAAUCAACCAAAGGUAAACUUGAAAAGAAAAAACUUGUCAAGAAAUUAUUGGAGGUUUUAACUAUAAAAUAAGUUUGCUUGAAAGUUAGAUGUAGUGCUUCAAAAUCCCAGUCCUAUGAACGCUUGACUAAUUUCUUGAUAGGUUUGUCUAAUUCCAUGCAUCAUGCCACUCUUUGUAAUCGAGUACUUUUUCAUGUAUACAUCUAUUUCAUGGUCCCGCACCGAAUUUCACUAGGGCUUUAAGAUUAGGAUCCUGAUUGGUUGAGCAGAUGAAACCCGCCAAGUUUCCGAGUCAAAUAGUACAAUAUAUCGUCCUUUAUUGUCCUCAAUCAAACACUUAAACUAUAGUGCAAAAUUCAAGGCUUAAUGGAUAGCUUUCGAAAGCAAAAGCCAUCCAGCUGGUAAGUACCAAAAAGGGGAGGAUUUGAGGAUUUGUUAGGAAAUUACAUGGGAUGAAUUGAGGGGAACAGCGAAACAAUAAUACUAUUGGCUUCUCUUGAAGUGGUGAGUAGAUGAUCUUACGUAGGAGUCAACAACCAAUGGCUUUUGCGUUUAAGGAAGCUUGCGUGUAAGCACGAAAACAAGAUAAUGCAUGCCAAGCCAAAGCCAAAGCCAAAGCCAAAGCCAACAGCCACACAGAGCCAAACCCCCAAUUAAAGCACCAAAUGCUUCAUCUUCAAGUUGCCCACAAUCAUAAAAUAACUCAAAAAUUGGUCAAAAAGGAGGUUGCAUUAAUGUGUCCGCACCUUCAAGACGACAGCCUCUUUUCGGUGCAAAGUGCAGCUUAGAAUUUUGUUUGUGAUUUUGAUUUUUGUCUUCAAUUGAUGGUCGGCGGUCACAUAAUGCACAGAUAAAUGAGUUCAUCAUGUCUCUCUCCAUUUUUUUUCCAAGUAUGGUGGCUUCUGUGUUCUUUCCAUGAUACAUAGUGCAUGUGUUUACAUACGACAUUUGGUCGUCGUUUCACGUUUGCAUGAUGAUGAUGAAAAUUAAGGUUGCUGGCACAUAUAAUUUAGAUUAUAUGCAUGUAGGAAUUUCUAUCUCACACACACUAAACACUAAUUAUUUUAGAUUAGGAUAUACGUCUGAGAUUAAAACACUCUUUUAUGGAAAUAUAUCGUGCAUUGUCAUAAUAGACAAAUCAAAAUUUGAAACGGAUCCUGAUCUGAAAACUAUGUGGUACCCAUAAUGCCGAUAUGGUUGGUUCAAUUAUUAAGAUAAAGACGAUGUCUCAAAAUAUGUUUAAGCGUCUAAUUAAUGCGAAAGUUUGGGAGUGCCCAUAUCACUAAUACGCUUCAAUUAUAAUGAUAGAGCAUCUAAAAGCUAGUUAAUGUGGGGACUAAUCAAAAUAGGGGAGUACUAGUUUGGAUUGGAUGCUUUUCUUGUCUUUUUGACAUUUUGGAGACACUAGAAAGGAGUGAUCUAAGAAAGAUAUAUAUAUAUAUAUAUAUUCUAUAUAUAUAUAUACGUGGGAUUUCUUGCAUUUCUACAAAGCAUAAUAAUGAUGGAAUGAAAACCUGCGCACUUGCAAAAGCUUUCUUCUUCUUAGAUCCUUUUGACAUUACUACAAAAUGAAGAUUUAAAAGUGGUUGGCGAGACAAAACAGAGAAAAUAAGUCCCAUUUCCCACAACUUUGCCAAAUCAAAACGUACUAGCUGUUGUUUUGGGGCCCCAUAGCUUCCUUCAUCAGUGCAUUUGAACUGAUGUAGACUGCCACUUUCAUUUAAUCAAUCAAAACCAACUCUCUUUCCAAUAACUUUGUCAUAGGUGGGACUUAGGAGUCACCUUCCAAUCAAGUUUCAAGGUACAUAUAUAGAAGUUUAAGUUAGAGGCAGGGCACAAAUCAUCCAUCCUAUAUGCCGACAGUGUUUUCUCUUAGGGUGAGGGUUUGUGAGGCUCCGUCCUGUAGUCCUGAGAUUCGGCCACCAAUUAAUAUAUACCCUCAUAGUUUAAUGAUUCACGGCCCGAAUUCAUUGUACAUCAAACCAAAGUAGGUAUACAUCACGAGAAAACUAAAGGCACGUUGAUAUAUUAAUUUGAGCUGUAAAAGAUAUUGAUGUGAACGAAUUGUCAAACACUAGCAACAAUCUACACUUGAGAAUAGUGAGGCCUUAAUCAGUAUAUGUGAUGUCUAAUCUCUGAUGAUGUUUACUUAAAAGCCACCUACCUCCGUUUAAGUGAGGCAGUCUGUUGAUUUGAUGAAUGCUUUGGCAUACAUCCUUAGCCAAAUGGGCAAAUCGUCACCCAUUUUUCACACAAUAUCAUUAUGCAUGUCCGGUAAUUAGUGCCUUUAACCUUGCCAAGAAUUUAAUCAGAACUCCUGAUCACAUGCCUUGUUCCACCCAUGUCCGAUUCAUUUCCUUCCUCGGAAUAAUUCAAAUCGGACUGAACUGAUACGAUCCGAUUUAGUCAAUUAACAGCAUUUUUAAGAUACAGAAAUACCAAUCUAUGCCAAGUUAAUAUGCAGCUUAACUAUGUCUAUGCCAACUAGUUGAUCUAGAAGGCGCAGGCAUGAGAUAUACCCUAAUAUGAUUUGCUUUUUUCUUUUCUAGAGUUAAGUCAAGAUCAGUUUGCCCUAAAAGUUCUGGUUCUGUCAGUGACCAAUCAAGUCUCAUUUCUGGCGUAAAUUUUGCCAUUAGUGAUGAAUAAGAUUCCCAAAGGUGAGUGGUUGACGAGCUCCCCUUCUUAGCUAUCAUCCAUUACGCAUUUGCUGUCUCCUUUAAGUCUUCUAAUCUGUAGAGGAUAAAUCAAACCGAAUGACAAGGGCUUAACAAUUAAUAACGAAAGAUGCGAUUCCUCAUGUGUCCUGCUCACAACUCCAUCUACUAGUUGUUUAAACGGCUACUGAUUGUUAAUUGCUUGAGAGGAUUGAUGACUAUUAAACCCCACAUGAACACCAAUGGUAUUCUAUGAAACCAAGUGCAAGUGGGGGCUACAGAUGGUGCCAAAUCUAAAUUCUACAUAACUUUCCAAGCUAUAAAUAACUUCAAUGCCUGAAUUUUUAGGUUUGUAUUCUAUGAGAGAAUUUAGUCGUAGGUUAGGACAUGACUGUCAAGCCAAAUUCAAUAGUGUAUAGGAACAUGGAACAUAUGUAUCUCGGCAGUUUCUGUGCAAGAAAUGGAGGCCAUAUUCAGGGUCUGAAGUUUCAGAUGAUCAGGGAUUCAAGGGUACUAGAAAUCUAAUGCAUUUACAAUGGAGAAUGCUCAUUGAUUCAUACUACAAAAUAUCAGCUGGUUUUUAUGAUCCUUGAGUUCGUGAUUAGCCUCAAUUUAACCGCAACCCGGAUUUUUAAUUUUUAAUCUUUUUUUUGAAGAAUUCUUUGAAAAAUAUUGAGCUAAAAUCAUUUCAAAGCAGUUGGAUAUCCUCAUCAAAUAAUUCAGAGUUAUUUUACAAUUAAUGUCAAAUCAUUUUUUAUUUAUCCAAAAACAAUCAAUUUUAAAUUUUUUUUUAAAAAAAAGUUACUAGUCACUCCCAUGACUACCAAACUCUGCAUAGCAAACUUGGAAAACUGAUUGGCCAAGGUUUAAAAUUUACUCCCUGCAUUGCAUUCCUAAUUAUUGGUGCAUGCUGAUUACGUGAUGAUCCUAGAACCAGACGGCAUUGUAACCUCUUGCUUUCUAUAUAUAUAUAUAUAUAUAUAUAUAUAUAUAUAAGAGACAGAAAUUAUGCUUUUAAUGAAAUUAUGAUAUUUUACCUAAGUGAGAUAGAAGCAGAAAAUGCUCCCUUCAUGUGUAGACAAGACUACCAAAUAAGUGAUAUCUUACAUGUACCUGGAAUUACAGCUCAAAAUCAGGUAGUGCACAGACAGCUGCACGGACAUUUACUAUUCAAGAAAAUCACUUUAAUUAUCUGAAAUGUAUAAUAAAUAGUUAGAGUAGGAUAUCUUACCCCUUUACCACAAUAUCUCUUUGAAGAACUUCUAAAAUCUUACCACGUAAUAUGCAGCAAAUAUUCGAAGACUAGAUAACAUUUUGAAAAUAAAAAGUUCUAAUCUCAUUGACAUCAUAGAUUUUAAGAAACACAAUUACAUGCAAAUAACCCCAUUGGCAUUACCAGUUUCCAAUGUAAUCUUUUUUGCUGGCUGGCAAGUUUGCCCGUUUUUAGGCAUCGUUUCUGUCAUUAGGCAACAUGGAGGAUAAGGAAAGCGAUCUAAGACAUAAUGGAAGUCGGAACCAACGUGCAUGACAUUGAACUCCUACCAAAGAGACAAUAAUUGGGGAAAUGUACUUCUUUUUCAGAUGUGUUGUCAAAAUUUUUCGAUUGCUCAAUUGAAGCUGAAAUUCAUUAGAUAGAUUAUGGACAGAUACAAGGAUCGAUCAGCUAGCAUUUCCUAUUGCUUCCACAAGCACCUAUCAAAUCUCAACAUUGAAAUGUAUACUUAACUGCAACAAGGACAAGUCUCCCUCUUUACCUUUUUGAGGUACCAUGCAGCAAUUUCAGUGUUCCUAGCUGGUGAAAUGCUUUUUCAAGUUACAUCUUGAAGGGUUUGUACUGAGUACACGUUGUUGAUGAAGACAUGCAAUCCUCAAUUUAAAAGUGCUUUCAAGUUCAUCAUUAUCAAAACUAGAGACAUGAAGUUUCUUGCAUUUCAGUAAUGACGUAGCACUACUAGCUGAGCCAAGAAUUUCAUAAAAGUGCACCCCCAAAAAAAAAAUUAAUUAAAGAGAAGAAAAUUCUGAAAUCCAAAGGCAAGCAUGAAAUCAAAGCAUUAUAAGAAAUCUUGGUGAAUCCAUGCCCCGGCCUCCCCUAGCUCCUUUGCUCCGACAAUGUACGGACCCAUCUUUUCACAGCUACCAACCAUCAAAAUUUGUUCACACUGAAGUUUACAAAUAUGAAAGCUUUACUUUUACUUGUCCAAAAGCAAACAUUCAAGCAUGCAUGCAUUCUUCUAAUACGAAUUAAUUUACUUUUGUGCCAAUUUGUCUAUGCGUUCGAUCUUCAAGUAAACUCAGAUUUUGUCUUAUGCUGUACUCUUUCCUUUUCCAUUCCCCUGGGAUUAUCUCAAUCAAGGGCAAGAUGGCACAAAACAGUUCUAUGAAUAAGUCAAAAUUUUACUUUAUCUUCAAACAGCAUAUGACGGUCAUUUCCACACACGUGAUGCAUGAUUCAAUUAUCCCACAUUUGCCAACAGUUAUAUUGUUCCAAUAAUCCCAUUGUGGAUAUCAAUGCUUAUGAAAAUUCAAAAAGGAGAAAAGACAAUAGGAGAACCAAAAUUGCCUUUUUUUUUUUUUCCGCCUGCAAUACUAGUUGGAAUACCACUUUCAGUUCACACAAUCGUCAGAACCAUGUCUUGCUAGGAAGAAAUCUAUAAAAUAGCCGUAUCCCCUGAUUUUGGAGUUUUCGAAAAAAAAAAUAUACUAUAGCGAUUCGACGUAUGUAGGAUAACAAGAUGAUUGGAAAAUAUGUUCACAAAAAACAGAGAAAUUUUUUUGAAACUUCAGAUCCACAUAAUAAAAGGGAAGAGGAAAAAAAAGGUAUAAAAAAUAUUCAAAAUAUAAGCUGUUCGAAAGGGUGAACUUUUGAUUAAGUUGUGGCCUUGUGGGGAAGCCUAUAAAUAGACAAAAGUAGCAUCAGCUAACAACAAUGAACUCAUGAAUAAUGUAAAGAAAAUAUUAGGCGGGACAGUGAAUCUGUGAGACGAUGACAUAUCCCCUGGAACUUGAUCUUUCAUGAAAACAUGCAAGUCCCACCAACGAUAUUCAUGUCCUUAAGCCAGUUGGUUUGUGGCUCAGGUCAGAUCUCAGCAUUCCCUCUGUCAAGCCGAUGCCAAGCCGAAAUGAGACCAGCGGACUCAAAAGCUGAGGCCCAGCAGUAAGAUACAUUGGUGCCUGGUCUCGAAGGCUUAAGCCCGACAGCAGGAUACGUUAAGUACAAUGUAGGUAAGUAUACUCAGUCUGUAGACCGUGUACACCCUUAAUUAAAAAAAAAACAAAACAAAAUAACUAAAAUUGGACAACUAAAUUUUUUUUUUUUUUUUUUUAAGGAAUUGAACAUAUAAUUAAGAUCGGCAACCAAGGUCAAAAAGGAUUCGAGUAUAGAUAUUAGUACAGCAAUGUGGGGUUGGGCUGAUACAGAUGUUACCAUCAUAUCUUCUAAAGGACAUAGUUCUACUCUCCAUCACAACAACCAAAAGUAAGCAGCUUUACACGGCUUUCUUGAGAUAUGUUGAAGAAAAAUGUCGAAUACUAGUAUAAAAUUUGUAAAAAAAAUCUGUUUUUUGCUAUUCAAUUGGAACAACAGGAUUUUCUUCUCGGUCAUUGGGCUGGAUCAACAACAUUUGCUUGUUGUACUGGCACGCAAGGCCUCCAAACGGUUUCUUUCCCCAGAUCCAUUAAAGCUAUACCCUUAACAGCCAAAUCACUCCUAAUCUGAUCACUCAAAGAAUAAUCUUUAUUUUUCCUUGCUUGAGCUCUUUCUUCAAUUGAGUGCAAAAUAUCAUCUUCUGUCAGCUUAGCUCUCGUCAAUGCUUUCUCCUUCAAUUGUGAUAAUACCUGUCCAUUAGAUAGAAAAAGCCAGGUCAGAAUAUUCAUCAGAGUAAAGACUGCUUGACAACCACCAGAGUGAAUCAUAAAUCACCUCAGAAUAUGUCAACCUCGGAAGCAAUCCCAGGAGAUCCAAAACGUCCUUCACUUCUCUCUCUAAUUCAAUCAGAGAGAGUACAGUUGUUUGCUGCUCCUGUUGCUGUUGCCGUUGCUUCUUUUUCUGUGGCUUUUUCUGGAAAUCAUUAACGGAAACAAACACUUCAGCAAGACACCAAGAUGCACAGAAUUGAGGUGACGAUUGAAAUCUAUACCCUAAGUGUCUCUACAGAAGCAUUAAUGAAUCUCAAGGCUUCUAUUAGAGCAGCACUCAAAAUGGUAGACGUGUGCAAAUCAUCUGACAUUCUUGUCAAAAUUUCGUCAUGAAGAUUCUUGAUGCAAUUUUUGGCUUUUGUGCUGAUGGAAGCUUUUGCGUCAUCAAUUUCAUCUUUUCCACGAAAUUCUGUGAGAGCGUCUUCAGCAUCCUUUAGAGUCUACAAUUGCAAAAGGCACCAACAUUUUCAUCUAUUCAUCAAUCUUGGUAAGUUCAUUCAUGUGUAAAGUAUUUAUAUUUCUAGUUUUUGCAUCUGUAUGAAUAUUUUUACCACACAGUGAAAUGCAAUCUAGAUAAUCAAGAGCAAAAGCCCAACUGCAUCUGUGUUUCAGGCUUUGAAAGAUCAAACAGACAGGCAACUAUUAAGCUGGUCUUCAGUUACCAGCACAAGAAAGUCAGAAAAUCUUAAAUGAACAUAAAAUUUUCUCUACCUGAAAUAUGUAGUAAACAGCAUCUGAUGCAAUUUCUAUCUGCAAUAUUGAGUAAUUAACAGGAGAACGGUAGUGCAUUCCCAAUAAGAAAUGUCGCAGUGCAAGUGGAUGGUACAGCUUCGUGACCUGCCAAAGAGAAAAAAGCAUGAUAUUAUAAUUCCAUAAUAGCAAUGAGAGACAACAACUAAAAAAAGAAGCUCCAACUCUAACCUCUCGAAUGGUGAAGAAGUUCCCAAGCGAUUUCGACAUUUUCUCAUCAUCUACAGUAACAAACCCAUUAUGCAGCCAGUAAGUGACAUUGCUCUCUGAGCAAGCAGCACAACUUUGCGCAAUUUCAUUUUCAUGAUGAGGGAAAAUCAAAUCCAUCCCACCACCAUGAAUAUCAAAAGUGUGUGUCAGAUAAUGAGCACUCAUGGCACUGCAUUCAAUAUGCCAUCCAGGCCUUCCAGGACCCCAUGGGCUGUCCCAACUUGGCUCCCCAGGUUUUGCGGCCUGCAUAUAUACAAAGCUAAGAUCAACAAGCCUUGUGCAUCUCAGAUGGCAAUAUUGUGGUAUUAACUUUCAAAUGCUUGUCCAAAUAUAAGAGAUUUUAGUCUAAAUCUCGUUGUUGGAGCACAGUUUAUCUGGUCUGCAUAAAAUGGUGUUAUGUGAGCUUUUCCACCUUUUGUUGUGAAGGGAGAACAUCAAAGAGUUAAAAAAAAAAAUUGAUACAGAAAUAACAUCUCCUUCUCAAACAACUCUCACCUUCCACAAGGCAAAGUCAGCUGGGUUACGCUUUCUUGAAUCAACAGCAACCCGUUCCCCAGCUCUAUUACCAUCUAAAUUUUGUCCUGAUAGCCGCCCGUAGUCAGGGAAUUUGUCAAUAGAGAAAUAUACAUCACCAUCAACUGCAUAAGCACACCCAUUGCUAAUGAUCUGCAUAACACAAAAAGUACAUAUUCAUAACCGAAGAAGAAAAAUAGGCUCCAUAUGCCAAGAAAAAGAGACACGCCGAUACAGUAAUCUAAUCAGUAUUUUGCAUUGAUCAAUCUAUUAAUGUACAUUACAUGUUAAUUUAAAAAUCCAAAACCACAACUCCUGAUUUUCCAAACCUCUCCAAUUGCACGAACACUCUUAAGAUGGAGAACCUAUGUGGCAUAUGGCAGGAGGUUAUGGGAAUCAACAAUUGGAAUUAAGUCUAUACUUAGUGGUUGGAUGAAAGGUAUGGGGUUUAAAAUGUAAAAAUUUGGGAACUCUCAAAACCCAACAGAUUGGAAGGUUUUGUGAAUUCCCUUAUUUAAUUCCCAAGAGAUUUAAAUAAACAUUUUUUUUAUUUACUCCAUCUCACCUUUCUUUCUUUCUUUUCUCCUCCACAACAGACCACUCCUACUCCUCCUUUAAUCCCCAUAACCGACCAACCUCCUCUUCCUCCACUCUCCUUCAUCUCUCCCCCCAUAGCCGACCCACCCUAUCCCUCCUCUACUCCCUCUCAACUACUAAUCCUUUUUCUUCAUGGCGCUGUAGGGCACCUUUCUCCGUUCCUUUCCAUGCCUAUAACCAAACACCCUAACCAUUCUCCACUCCUCCCCAUCUGCUAAAUCUUUUCCUUCAUGGCGAUAUAGGCACUGCUCUUCAGUUCCUUUCAAACAAGGGGCUAAGAAUUAUGGAGAAAUUUCUGUUUGCAAAGGACCUCGUCCCUGCUUGCUGCCCGAUCUCUGGCAAAUUUUCUUCUGUUUUGAGGUUAAUAAUCUUUCUAGUGGUGUUGUUGAUUUUUUCUAGAAUACUGGUGGAAUGCGGAGGCAAAAGCGGUGGAAUGAGUGGUUGCAAACCUCCCUCUUCUCUUUGCUCUCACUGGUGAAUCUUGUUGGCAGAUUUUUUUGUUUUAUUUUGGGCAUUUAGGGAUCUGAUCUAAUGACACUGAAGUCCCAACCAUAAUUGCAGGUGUGAAUGGUCAAGAAUGCUUCAAUAAGGUGUAAGAGAGGAAAAGGGAAGACGAAAAUACAAUUUAAAAUGUAAAAACCCAUUCCUCAUAAGAUUUUACUAAACACCUAUUAGCUAAUAAUACCUUUCACCAAAACCCACACUAAAUUUUUAGGAAUGAAUCCAAUUACAAUUCCAAUUCCUAGGAUUGAACCAAACACCCUCCUAGUAAAUACAUGAGAACAAGAAAAGGUAGGAAGAAAACCUUCUGAUUCCAAUUGCUAGUAAAAUGUUCAAAGUUAGAAAUGCAGACGCAAUAGAUGGGCACUCAAUACAUUUAACUAGGCAAUGCCUUGACAUGGUUCAGCAGUCUUAAUCUCCAUACAUAUGAAAAAUUUUGGCAAAAUAACCAUGUAGUGCAGGAACUCACACUAGAUGGGCACUCAAUACAUUUAACUAGGCAAUGCCUUGACAUGGUUCAGCAGUCUUAAUCUCCAUACAUAUGAAAAAUUUUGGCAAAAUAACCAUGUAGUGCAGGAACUCACACUCUCACCAACAUACAAAGGCACCACAACCAUAACGCAAACACAGAUCUCCACAAAUUUUUCAUGAUUCAUAAUAUCCCUUAAAAAUGUAGGAGUGCAAUAAAGAAUCAAAGUACCUGAGAAAUCAUUCUCUUUAUUUCGUCUAUGUGAUCAGACACACGAGGUUGAUGGGUAGGAGGAAGGCAUUGGAGAUCAUCCAUGUCUUUUAGAUACUCUUCACAAAACCGACCACUCAAAGAUAUUGGGUCUUCUCCAUUCUCAUUAGCUCUCUUAAUGAUCUGCAAAAAUCAAUAUGGUAUGAAUUAAGACAGUGUGCAGACAAUUAUGAAGUUGUGGUACAAUACAUCAAGGGGCAAUGCUGCAAUGCAUGUAGAUUGACCAAUAAGGAGUACAUACUCAAAUCCAUCUAGAGCUUCAAAAAAAAACCAAGGACAUGAACGGGUACUUCUCAGCAAAAAGAGCAUUUUAGGUAAUGAAAUUACGGAGCUCCUGAAGAAAGUUCAAUAGGAAAACAAUCUUCUUUAAACAAUCUGUAACACUAAAUGACUGCUUUCUUUGGAUGAAAAGAAAUACAAUGUUGGUCUUAAGAAACUUCAAUAGAUUGAUUAGUUGUUCUUUUCUGUUUAUAACAACACAGGUUUGAGUUGUAGAUAUGACUCUACUAGCCACGCAUGGUGCAACUACACCAACAACAUAGAUGAAUGGAAAACAGCAAAAGUCACACAAAUAACAUGAACAGAAAAUAGUUGCUUCUUGGAUGUCAAACUAUGAAGCAGAGAAUGGUAAUCCAACAGCUUUUAAAAAUUAAUAAUCUGGCAACCUAACUGCUGUGAAGAUGAGGUAAAUAAAGAGUAUUUUGUCUUUCAUUGCGAUUUAAGUUUGGUAAAAAUGGUUUUAACCUUUUACCACUCAACUGUUUGCUAUCUCCUCAGUCUCAUCUUCAAGAUGCAACAUAUGCUGGUAAUUAUUCAUGUACCCUCACAAAGCAGUUUUUCUUUUGUUUUCCAUCUUUGCGCAACUACUAUUAAUAGAUUGUCAUGAAUGAAACUUCUACAAUUCUUUCCUAUAGUUAUUUUUUGCCUUUUGCAAUUAGAGACAUAUUAGGCGUAAUGAUUAUGAAAGAUGGUUCAUACAAAUUAGUUAAUUUACUGGAUCAAAUACGCAUUUCAUCUAUAAAAAAAUCAUAACAUUAAAAAAUGGAACAGCGCACUUGGAUAGAGGGAGGGAUAUGGAGAUGCAGAUGCAAUUGAUGCUCGAAAGUUCAGACAGAAAAUCAAAAGGAUGAGGAUGAAAGUUGGUCUCUUCUCUUACAACUUGGCCAACUAUUUCAAGUAUGCCCGAGAGAGGCAUAUGAGAAGAUAUCAAAGAACAACACCAUAAUAGAACUUAUUCCAAACAUGAUCCCUCCCUAAGAUACUAACAUUUCAUGCACGCAAGGUUCAGUUGCAGCCAUAUGGAAUAAAGUCUUUCAGGUUACCAAGUUAAACCAAGACCAUCCUUGGCAUGCCAGAUUAUCUUGUUAUACAUUUGUGCAAAGGAUAAUCAUACAUAUGCUUCUCAAACCCCAUAUGUUUAAAUAGUCAUCAAACAAAAUCUACAUUAAUGGUCUCGAGAGAAGUAUUAACAGUACACAACAGAAUUAUCUUUUCCACAAAUACUCUGCCAUAACAAACACAAAUGCACAAGUAGUUGAUUUACAAGAAAGAUGAGGUUCUUACCUUGUCAUCAACAUCAGUGAAGUUCCGAACAUAAACAACCUCGUAUCCCAAAUACUUUAGGUACCUAAACAAUUUUGUAUUUAACGAAAAGAAUUACAAGACAAUAGCAACCGAAAACAAUUAUUAACCAUUUUUAUUAGAAUAGACAAAAAAAAGCCUAUACCACAGAUACAAUCUACCAAAAGAAUCGAGAGCAUUCGUGGUUAAAUACCACAAAAAAAUUACAUGAACCAAUCCUAGAGAAGAAAUUACACAUUAAACAUACAAAAAAUAUCUGAUAUGUUUGUCCUAUAUAGACAUAUUAAAUAGGCACAGACAUAUAUAAAAACUACGCGUGCAAAACUACAUGAGUAGGAGUGUAUGAACCGCUAUGUACAAUCAACAACACCAUUACUGAUUUCAAUAUGUUUUUAUUGAUCAUCAGUAGGAUAUCUUCCAACAUCAUACACUAGCAAACUAAAACGUAUAGCAUGCUUAAACCUUAAAAGCCAAAUUAUACCAGUAAAAUUACAAAGCUCAGCAUUGCAAAGAAAUCUGUCUAGAGAAAGGUGUUGCACUCUUGAUUCAUUCAACAGGAGAACUUAAAAAGCAUCUUCUGAGCAAGGACAUGCAGAAAAGCAAUAUUUUUUCUACUUACGAUCCAUAAGACUAACUCUGCAACACUAAUCACUCAGAUAACCUUGGUCCAAUUUACAAUUCCCAAAAUUAACAAUUGUAAUCCCCAUCGCCCCUGGAAAGUGGAAGAAAUAUCACCAUUCUUAAUUAGCUACUGAUUAAAGUCUCUAAAAAAGCACUAUUCAGAUGUCUUCUACUUACAGUAGUCAAUCAAAAUGUCAAAUUCAUCUUAUGCUGCUACUCUAAUUACAAUUUAUAUUCAUUCCAAAAUCAGCAGGUCAGACUACUAAAUGUAGAUAGCACUCAAUAUUCAUCAAUUGCAAUCACAAGCUAAAUUCGAAGAAGGGAUUCAUAUCAAAACGAAAAUUAAACCUGUAGAGAACAUCAAACGCCACGUAGGCGCGUGCGUGGCCAAUGUGGCUGUAGUCGUACGCGGUCACGCCACAAACAUACAUUCCUACUUUGCCUUCUUCUUUCGGCCGGAAAACCUCCUUUUGCUUCGACAUACUAUUAUACAACUGAAACUCCGGCUUCUUAUCCGCCGCCUUCUUCCCCUCCGGCUUCUUCUUCUCCUCCACUAUCUUCUCCGCCAUAGGAGUUCCGAUUCCUAAUCGCUUCGAUUAACAAUCGAUCAAUUUCGAACACUCAAAAGACCUCAGCCUAGCAAUCUCGCCAGCUCAAUAUACCUAUAUGUGGACUUUCUGCAUGUAACCGUCUAAAAGGGAAUUUGUCUGUGUAACUGCGUGGGGAAAACUGGCCGCAACCCUAAGCAAGAAAAGGUUCAACGAUCUCGGCCGUUGGAUUGUCCAUCUAUAAACGGACCCAGAAGCGUUAAAAGAUCGCCAUCGUUGAUUUUGCGUUUAUUCUUUAUGCCCGAACCAACCGAUUGUCCAUAUAUGGAAAUAGGCAAAGGAUGUGGAAAUGAGAAACCAAAGAAAGUAUUCUGCAUUGGUCAAAGAAUGUGGAAAUGGGUCAUACUACUUUUCAUUUUUCAAGCUUGGAAAGUAUUUUAAGGGGAAAAUGGUCAAUUUUGUCCCUAAAUAUUUUUGCUAGAGUUGAUUCCGUCCCUAAGUUUUAUUUUUAGUCAAUUCGAUACAUAAACUUAAUUCUUGGGUCCAAUUACGGCCCUCUGUAGCGGCGCCACCACUUAAAAAUGAUUUGGUUCUUAAUUUAAUAACUAAAUAGGGGUAUUUUAGGAAAUUUGGAUGUAGGUUGUAAUAAAAACCAAGUAAACCAAAAAAAUUUAUUAAUUUUUGGGAUAUUUUUAAAUUUUAAAAGUUUUUGGGGGUAUUUUUAAAAUUUUUAAUCAGCUUCCAACCCCUUUCUCUACCUUAUCCUCUCUCUUCUCCUCUGCCACCCCUUUCCUCGGUCAAUCCAGCCACCGUUCCACCUCCUUCGACACCGCUACUUGCCACUACCUUUUCCACUCCUUCAUAACUUUUCUCACUCCACCACCAAACUCCAUCUCACCACCCACUUGCUCCUUCUUCCCCCCCAUUUUUUUUCCACUUCUACCUCCUCUCCUUUUCUCCCAUGUAUCCCUUUCACUAGCAUUCCUCUCCCGCUACUCCUUUUCCUUCAUUUUCCCCAUUACUUGUACCUCCCCCCCUCCUCCCCUCCCCAAAAGGAGAUCUAGUCCUAUAAACAAUCCGAAUAAAGCCCUUUCUAAAUCAUUCUUGACCAUCUCAUCAUCGCAAGAAAGAAUUUGCAAUAAGAAGAAAACUCUAGCAUCCAAUAACUAUCGCCAUUUUGUUGCUACAAAGGUGAUCACCACUAGCAUUGAACGUAAUAACAGAGGGUGAAACCCUAAUGGACUUCAUGGUUUUGAAUAUCUUUAGGGAUUCUUUAAAGAGCCCAGUUUCGCCAAAGGCGCAAAUCAAACAGUUAAAGUGCUUAUCCUCCAGUUGGACAACCCCAUUAGACUUUCCCAGAAUGGAUAAGAGAAAGUUCCGAGCGGAGUUGCAGUUUCUUGCUUGGCAAAAGAGCUCAAGCAUGAGGAAGUAGGAUUGAGGAAUGUGGGUGAAUCUUGAUUUGUAAGCCCAGUGGAAGAAAUAGAGGGCUUUGGCAGGGGUUGUGAUGAGGCGGAGAGUUUGAAGGACAGUGGUUUGGGAAAGUGAGAAUUGGGAGAGUAAGGCUUGAAAAUUGGUUAACCAGGGUCUGGCAUUAAUUAGUCUGGCCAUGGUUCAGGCUCUUUUAGUUUUGGUAGAUAAUGAUUUUGAUUUGAAUACCUCGGCAUGACCAUUGUCGGGAUUGCUUCUACUAGCUGUAGUUUUGUGAUUGCUAUUUUUGGCUGCAGUUUCUAGUUAAGAUGAAUGGUGUUUGAUAAAUGGUGAAUGAGGUGGACGUGGUGCUUUGCAGUUGUAGAAUGUUUGGGUUCUUGGACUCAAAUUGGCGGCCAUGUUGAAAUGUGUUGGGCGGGCGGCUGCUGGCGCCAGGCGGGUGUAUUAUAGGGGAGGAGGAGAAAAGGAGAAGGAGAAAGGUGGGGGAGGGUGGAGUUUGAUAGUUAAUGGAGAAGAUUGCCUUUCAUGGUGGAAGAAGGACAGUACACAAAGUUUACAAAAUGCCCUUGUUUAAUUAUUAAAUUAAGAGCCAAAUCGCUUCUAUGUGGUGGCGCCGCCGCAGAGGGCCUUAAUUGGACCCAAAAAUUAAGUUUGUGUAUCAAAUUGGCUAAAAAUAAAACUUAGGGACUAAAUCAGCUCUAGUAAAAAUUUUUGGGGACGAAAUUGGCCAUUUUCCCUUAAGUAAGUGGGCUAAGCACUAUUGUUUCUCAUUCAAGAAGCGAGCCUGCCUAGAAAGGAGCCACAAAUGCUGAUUUGGGCUUCGUGUAGGACAAAGGCUACUUGAUUAUGCUGCCCGGUCUCCUUCGUGUACAGCAGAUACAAUGGCACUAAACUAAACAAAUCUACAUUAGAUUCAGUUGUAUAACACUCAAAUCCAAAACAAUACACUGGUAGUUGCCUUCAGUUAGUGGGUCUGACGGAUGCCUUCUCUUCCUUCCUUUUCUUUUUUACUAGUAGAAUUCAGAGAGUUUAUUUCUCUUUUUUAGAUUUAUUCAACGGCUUUUUUUUAGAAUACCGGUAGUUUUUUUUUUUUUUUUUUGUGAUCAGGAAUGUGCUCCAACUCGAACGACUUUGGACUCAAGCCAAUACAUCAAACCAGAGGAUAUGCUGUGGCCCCACACGAUGCAUUUGAGGUAAGUCACAAGUGUUCAAAUCAAGAAUUAGAUUCAAAUUCAUGACUAAAAGAAUAAUAAGAGUUUGCUUACCACUGGACUACCUCCCAUGGGGGCAAGAAUACACGUAGUUGUCUUCAAUCUUUGAGGACAAUGACAGUAAUCUGGUUUUCUUCAGACAAUAAUGGUGUAAAAUGACCAACUAAUGUCUCAUCAUAUGCGUACAUCGACUCCAACAAAUGAAGAGAUAAGUAGUGAUAAUGGUGUCAUUUAUCUUGGAUAAAUAACUGGUGGAGUAAAAACCUGAGUGCUAAUGAAUUCAACAAAAUCCUUACUAGUAACAAUGAAAAUAAAAAUCCAUAACUACCACAUCCAUUCACAUUUGAAGAGCUGAUGAACUAUGUAAAAAGUGUAAUUCAACAAGCUUGCGAUUUGAACUAGUUGCAGUUUGUACCGGUUAAGGACUGGAUACUAACCCUAUAGGUUUUGUUGCAUUUUCAAUGAAUUUUAAAUUGACUACAGUUCUCUAUUAAGAAAUUCUUUGGCAAUACAUUUGACCGGACAGGAAAAAAAAAAAUUUCGUCCAGUCACAAAACAAAAAUUCAUAAGGAGAUUCAAUAAAAAUUACGAACAAAACUUUGCAAAAAGAAUUGUGAUCAUGAUCUAGAAACAAAAAGAUGACAACAUUUUUGCAGCUCUCUCGUGUAUUCAGCAAUCAUCAUCUAGCAUUAAUGGAUUGAACUGCAUGAGUAAUUCUUGCCUCUGAAUUCUCAUCUCCUCAUAGAACCUUUCAAUAAACUUCUCAGCCCUUUCAUCAAUUGAGCACUCAUCAUCUUCCCCACUUAACUCUGAUUGUUUCAAAUAAAUCUUUUGCAAUAGUAUCCUCAAUAGCAGGCAAAACCUUCGACCCCAAUGGAAAGCUCCUGUAUUCCUUUUCUGCCUCGUUCAUACCUAAGCAUUUUCCAAUGAAUAAAAUGGAGUACAAAUCUUUAUAUCUCCUCUUGUUGAUUGGCUUUCUGCAGUUGUACCGCAGGAAUGGACUAUUUGAAGGGGAGAGCUGAUACUCCUGAGCGUACCCACACUUGUAAUGCCUGAGAAGCAUGAAUUUCUUGAUUUUUCUUGACUUUUUGAGUGAAAUAAUUCUUGGAAUAUUGAUGGAUUUCCUCAUUCUGGUGAUAAAAAUAUGGACUCUUAGGAGCCUUGAUACUUUCUGCAAAAAGGCUGAUGAUGAUUUUAGUUUCUUGGGCAUUUUUUGUAGCAGGAACUGUUGUAUUCCGAGAAUAUGGCUAGUUUUAAGGUUUUUUUUUUAUAGGGUUUCAUUGGGCAAGCUUGAGGUUUUUAUAGUUUAAUUAGUGCAAAAAGUUAUACGGGAUUAAUGGGAUUCUUAGAAAGAUCUAAAGAUGGUGGUGGGGAGCUAGGUAACUGGGAAAAGGUAGAUGGUCGGUUUUACUUUGUACCUAUUCUAUAUGGGGCAUCACCAAGUAGCCGUUGAAGUCGAUGCCCCGCUCUAAUUCUAAGCUUCAAAAUUUUGUAUGACUAUUUUAAUGGUUUUAAGAAUAUUUGAUUCCUUUUUUUGCCAUUUCAUAAGCCAUCAAAAUAUAGCUGUUUGUUGCUCCUUAUGCACAUUGGGUAGUAGCUUGAUAUUGCACGUCUUUGUUGGUUCUAGUUAAAUUAUUCAAUAUCCUUAUAAAGGGGGUUUGAAUUUCACCAGCAUGUAUAGGAGUUUUUUGAAAAUGUGAAAUGUUGUGUAGUUUUUUAAAGGUUUUUUAUUUAACUGACGGCAGCAUAUGUUUAGAUAUAUUUAUCGAAAUGCCCUUAUUUUGGUAUAUUUAAAGCUUUAAUUUGUGGAGACAUCUGGGUAUUCCUGAAAUAUGAAAUUAUUUUACAACCGUUUUUGCAUCGAAUACAACUCAUAUAAGCUUAUGUGUUAGUAUAAUUACUGAAAUAGUAUUAUAGACACAUUUAAUUGAAGUAUGGCUUUUGUUGUACAAUUAACACAAAAACAUAUUAACAUAUUAUGCAAUUAACACAUUACUAUAACUAACUGUUGAAGGAUAUCCCUUUGUUUGAAAUAACUUAUGUCAGCUCUUAAGCGAUUUUCAACUGACAUCUGUAUGGACCUUUUGGGAAUGAUAAAAUUAUAAAAGCAUUGAUAAAGUAAAGUUUACAAAUGUGUGCUGCAAUAAGAAUGUAUUAUUUUUAGUUUUGUCAUAUUUGAUGACUAUUUCUUUCCAGAAUGUACUGUUAUUUGUCCAAUGAAAAAUCCUCUCUAAUCAUAGGCGCCAAACACUUGCGCGACGCACAAACACUGCCCUGAGUCUUGUGCAGAUGGAGAAGUUAUAACCUACAAAGAGAUUGAAUUAAUAAAUGCAUUGGGUACAUUGUAACUAUUGUCUCACAGAUAGAUUUUUAAUUACUAAAGUUUUUAGAUUGGAAAUACAUUGCAAUUAAAGUUUGGGUAAAUUAAAUUUUUACUCUUCUGAUUAAGCCUUUAGUUUCAUAAUUCCUUAUGAUUUUACAUUGCUUUCCAUGUUUCAUAGUUAAAACCAAGAAAUUUUUUAUUCUUUAACAACAGAAUGGUCUUACAUAAGCUUUCUUUCAUUCAUGUUCUCCGCUCCUACACAUGUAAAGGAAAGUGAAGAGGGGAAUGAUAGAAAAGCUGAACGAAAUUGGUUUUUCCUCUUUAAUCAAUUAAGUUUUCAAUGUUGAAAGUUUGAUAUCUUAAGUGAAAGCUUACAUUUAUGCUCUUGUUCCAGUGUUUUACUUUCAAUUGGCUUUCUUUUGAGCUAAUAAAUUGACUACUCAGAACAAAAACUUCGUUGGUAUUAUUGUUUGCUUUACCCCAUUGGAAGUUGUCAAAGUUCCAAAGAAUAGGCUUAGGAGAUAACAAACUUGAAGGGUUUUAUCCCAAAUGGUUUUUUGGUAUUUGCUCAAUUAUGGAAAAUGGUUUUUUACAUCUUCAAAGGGGAAGCAGAUACUCUGCAUUAGGGUUCCUUCAACUUUCAGCUAGCAUGACAAACAUUUUCGAAUAGAGGAUUAUUUUUUUAAAAAAAAAAUUGACUAGAAUACCACUAUAACACUCUUUGUGAUGUGAUUGUAAAACAAAAAGAUGGUUAUAAAGAUGAAAGGAAAAAAGGCGAUUGAAAAUGUAUUUAUGAUGUAAUUAAAUAGAUUGUUCACAAUAAUAAGGUGACCAAAGAAAAUCUAUUAACAUCAGUGGACAACUUUUUCUUGAAGGUAUAAAUUUCAAAACAAACAGCAGAAACUACUAGCAGGAUAGACCUUUCAAUUUGUUACUUUCCAUUUUACAAUUUAAUUAUGACAAGUAAUACGCUAAACAAAGGAUUACCAUCACAGAUUUGUAGCUGUCCAAUUUAUACAUUUUUAUUCUGAAUAUUCAAGUCCCUAGUUGAUUGUGCUCCAAGGAGUGUUUCUAAGAUUAUUUGCUUGCUAAAUCUUCCCCCUAUCUGAAGCUCAAUAGCCAAUAUUUUAUGGCUAUACAUUGGGAAUGUGAAAUGAAGUGAUGAUUAUGAAGUGGGGCUUUCUUUCGCUUGAAACAUUCUUUCUUUUUGGGGUCGCUUUCAUUUGAAAUACGUACCCAUUUGUCGAAGAAAUCACUAUUGCUUGUGUUGUUCAGGAAUCCAUGGCUUAGUUAAACAAAACAAAUGCUUUGUAUUCAAAUAAUAUUUUAUCUCUAUUAAGUUUUAAAGUUGUUUCUAUGGAUGGUUUGACCCAAAAACCUAUAUUGAAGUGUAUUUUCUUAUUGUUCAAUAUAUUCCUAUUCGUCCUUCUUUAAUUUCCAUUAAAUCAUGAGAAAAAUGAAGCAAAAAAAAAAGAUAGUUACAUGCUCAUUAGCUCACCUAUUUAUCAGCUUUACCUUGGAAAGAUUUACGAACUGGCACUAUGGAAAAAUUCCAUUCAUUCCAUUUGAAUUUCAAAGGAUUUAUGAAGUUUCGGGAUCGAGAAUGAAAUGGUGCACGAACUUUAUUGGGAAAAUUAGCUAAUGACCCUCCAUGUUUAUGAAGAAUCUUGCUACAGACCUUAUAAGAAUCUUACAAUCACCGGAUGAUUGUAUAGUACAAUCAAGGGUGAAAGAUGGGUUGAUUCUAAUUUGAAGAAAUGAUGUUGAGUUUGAGACACAAAUUUUAAGGUGAGAUAAUAUGUUUUUUUCGCAUGUUAUUACGUUAAGUUCUAUAUUUAUGUGCAUUUCACUAUGCAAUUCAAGCUUACGGGUAUAAAAGCUCCAUAUCCAAAAUUAUAAGUUCCAAUGCUUAACUAGCUAGCUUUAUAUAAGGGGCAUUGAACAUAUUCAAGAAACAAUUUGUCUAACGAGUGUCCAUAUGUUAGGUAUUAGAAUUUUAGAAGUAUAAGAUUAAUUAGGCAAAGCGUAUAAAUAUAGGGGAAUCAUAUAGAAAAAGUGUAUAAAUGUAAGAAAAAAUAGUAAUUGUUAUUGUGUAUAUAUAUAUAUAUGAUAAGCUGAAUCCCUUCAAGAAAUUGAAGGAUUAAUAACAAGUACUAGAGUGCAUGGGAUUAUUAACAAUAAUCAAAUAAAACAAAUAUUUUUUCUAUACAAAAUCAAAUAAAGAUACAUACCUACAGCCUUUCGUUCCUUUUCACUCAUCUUAAUCAUGAACUUUCUUUUCAAAAGAAUGCCGUAUAUCUUGACGAUUUUUGGACAAAAUAGAAAAGAAAGUUUCUGAAACUCAAAAAUUUCAAGCAUGGGCAUGUAACUAAACCUUACCCUGCUUUUGUGGUUUUUUGUGGUAUCAAAUUUGAAAUACUUGGACAAGGAGUUGUUCGAUGAAAUCUGUGUUUGUGGUUCUUUGUGUUAUCAAGCACCUGAACAAGGAGUUGUAACCAUAUAUAAACUGGAGGAGAAAUUAAUGGUUUGUAAGAAUUAGAGGGGGAGGCCUCUGCAAUUUGAAUGAACUAGGGUGGAGGCGACCAACUAAAACUAACAUUUAUUCCAGAAAAUUCUCUAGCUAUAAUUUGAGGCCUUUUUGACAAACAAAAUUUUGGCCAAGUUUGUCUGUUAUAAGUUUUUUAACAACUUUAGUUAAAAUAAUAUCAAAAAAUUUCUCAAAAUUUUUAAACUUUACACUUCAAAAUAUCCAAAAAAUUACACACUUCAAAAAUUUUUCUUAUAACUUCUACAGUAAAUUAUAUAAUAAAGUUUUAGACAGACAUCCAAAAAAACUCAUUUGCCAAAUAGGGCCUUGGUUUUUAACUUUAAUCUGGUCUUGCUAUCAUUAAUUGGAAAGAGACUGUUGAUCAGCUUGAUGCCAAAGAGCUAACUACUAAUCUCUAGUCCAUCUUUGUUUUGCCAUGAAGUAUUAUAUUAUAGUCUUUUCUUUAAUCACCCCUCCUUCUUUUUGAUUCCUGUAGCUAGAAAAAAAAACGGCAAUGUUUUCUUUAAGCAUUAGUUGAGAUCAAAAUAGUUAAUUUACGAGUUUCCAAAUUGUUUUAGGGAAAGUAAAAAUGUUAAAUCACAUAUAGCUACAGAAAGUAAUAUGGAUUGAAUAUAACGAAAAGUACUACCAAUCGAGUAAAAUUUCUCUUAAAUUGCUCAGAGAAACCAAUUCUUCUAAAACACAUGAUGUUGUUUAUAGCAACGAAAUAAGUAUUGGAUAAUGUUUAAAAGGUCAUUCGAUUGAAUUGUUGCCAAAGCUUCUCUUUUUAAUAAUCCUUCUCUAAAGCAUACGUUCAUAAAUCUCUAGUUUUAUUUAAGAUUCAUCUGGAUAGUGUGUUCUUGGAGUAUUUGUUUAAAAUUUUAUUAUAAUUUAUUGUGGUUGUUUUAGAAAAAAAAAAUUAUCCAAAACACCUUAUUUUUCUACAACAUCCCUUUCUCCCUCCCCUACCAGCAACCACCCCCCACCACUGGCAACUUCCACCAUCUACCAUUGCUAUCCACCGAUAGAUUUUUUUGUUGGCAUUUUCUUUUAAAACUUAUGGAUGUUUUAGAAUGUUAAUACAGAUGGUGUUUUACCCAAAUUUUGUCUUUUUAAAACACCAUCUAAAACACGGAUGGCAAACAAACCCUUAAUUUUUCAUAAAAAUUGUUUACUUGCUCAAAUAGAAAAUCAGUACAAAAUAGAUAGUUUAUGUUAAUUUUUUAACAAGAGAUAAUUAUGAAAAAAAAGUUGCAAUUCUUUAGAUUGUAGUUAGAAUCCAUGGUUUUUCAUUUUUCUAUUCAAAGAUGAAUUAGAGAUGAUAUUCACCAAGAGAAGGAAACAAAAAUCUAAAAAUAUUACUUGAGAAGAGGGAAUAUUUUUUUUUUUAAAAAAAGAAGAAUGUAAUUUUGGGAUUUUGCAUGGAUGCUUAUUGCAAAAUGGAAUGGUGCAAUAAAGGAAUCCAAACCCAACGUACUACAAGUGUUUCUAAUUUGCUAAUAAUUGGCUUCAAACCAUACGUACUUGGUAGUAUCUCCUUGCUGUGUUUGGCUCUUAAUUAAUUAGCACAUAUUGGCCAAAUAUCAAACUGAAUAUAUUAGCCAACCCUAAAUUACAUGUUAGUUACACUUAAAAAUAAGUCAAAAAAGCUAAAAAGAAAUACUAAAAAAAAGAAUUAAGCUUGUGGAAUAUGGCAAGGGGCCAACUACUUCUUUAGCAUCCUACCAUGUUGGGGGUAUGUUGACCAAGUUAUUGCGUUUCUUAUAAUUUUGUUGCUUGGAGUAGAUGGAAUCGGUCUUCCUCCUUUUUUUUUCGGUACAUAAUCGGUCUUCCUCUUUAGUGGCCCCAUUUGUUUAAUUUUUUUCUCCCCCUUGGUAAAUAAUUGAUGGAAUUGGUCUUUCAUCUUCUUGAAACUCAAUUUUUAGGUGCACCACUUCCGGCAAUGAGCAACUUCAUGAUCCUUGUAUACUUCCACUCUAUUUCCAAGCAUACGUGAAAAUGAGCAAUUUGAAGAUGCAAAUCAAUUUCACAGAAUAUUGUAACUAAAUAAAACUUAAAGGGAUCUUUUUCAAACAUACAUUGUAAGUCUAGAAAAACUUAACAAUCAAUGAGAAAAUUCUUUUAUUGUUUGGAUGGUGAGUUAUUUGCACAAUUUUACUUAUUUAUAUCAUCAACACAUUUCUUAACUAUUUUUUUAUCUCACAUAUUUAUGAAGAAACAAGAUUUUGUAUACAUUAGCUGUAAUGUUUUCUAUUGCACAUUCCUUUGGACUUCUCACUCUCUUUCAAAUGACGUACAUCAACGUUAAUUGACCCCAUUUUUUUCUUUUUCUUCUGUCAAGUUAAUUGACCCAAUUGAGCAUAUAGCUCAAUGUUAAUUCUCCUUUAUUUUACAAAGAAGAAUGAAUUGUCAACACCGAUCACUAUCCACAAUUGUUUACAUCUUCUAUUCAAAAAACAUGUAAAGUUAGAAAAAUGAAAUCGAGGUUCAGCAAAUGCAUGCAUCAUUUUGGUUCUCAAGCAACAUUAAGGAAUUUCACAUGAAUCUUUUUUUAUCUGCAUAAUUAACUGUUGUCAUCAUCUCCCUUUUAAUCUUAAAACUUGAUAUUCAUUAUUCAGAAUGCUCUCUAAUUUUACGACACAACGACAUAACUAAAACAAAAAGAAACAUGAAUAAUCUCAAAUGGGGUUGCAUACAAGUUCAGCCACUUGCGAACCCAUCUCGAGCAGCUCGAGUCAAAACUCGACUCGAGUUCUAUUAACACUAAGUCGAGCCAAACCCAAGCUUGAAUUUAAACUCAAAGAUGCUCAAGUCCCUAAAGAGAAAUAUUAAAUAGCAACUAUUAAUGAGAAAUAAAAAGACAUAUUAGCCUAGUGCAAAAAUGAAUUUACUUUUACCACUUUGGCCGAAACUGCCUUUCAAACCAAUUAUCAGACCGCUGAAUAAAAGGAAAAGUAAAAGCAAUAAACUAUAAAUUUGGGAAAAAGAAUAAAAACCUUUCCAAUAAUGUCGUACAGGACAAAACUACAGUGCGCACAGCACACAUCUGCGUAGAAUAGUAAGCAGCUUAUGGGAUUAACAUGAAAUAACCCGAACGUUAGAACUACCCCAAACUCUCUCCUUCUCUUUCUCUCUCUCUCUCUCUCUUUUUGUCCACUUUGCCCCUGGCCCCCCAUACAUAAACUUACAUUCCUGGCCAAUUUUUCCCCACAACCAUCAAAAUUCAGCAAACCAUCUUUUCCGCUGAUCAAUUACUCCCCUACAAACGGAAAGCUAGAAGAAAAGAUAUGCAGAUUACAAUUACACCUCAAAAUAAGCUUUUUUGAGUCUUUCUCACUAAUAAAUUACUCUUUUUUCCAUUGAAUGUUAUAGCCCAUAUUUGAAUAUUACUACAGACACCGAAGAAAAAAAAAGAAGAAAGAUAUUGGGUUAAUGGCGAUGGGUCUAGAACGAGAAAGAGAACAAUCAUUGCCAUCCUCAUCAUCAUCCAAGCCUUUGCAUAAUUUCAACCUGCCGUUUGGAUUACGGUGGGGUAAUCAGAAGUUUUUACGAUGUAUGAAGGUUAACUCUAACGGCGAAAUCUCCGCCGUCCAACGCCGUCCUUCGUCUUCCUCCUCGCUAGCUGCUGCUUUUAAUGCUAGUAAUGGUAAUAGAAAUGGGAAUUUGAAUUCUUCUUCUUCUGCUGAUGUUCUGUCCAUCAUCGGAAAGAGGAAGGAGAGAGAGAAAUGUGAGGACCCAUCUAUUGUUCUGGUGGAUUAUCACCGUGGAUCCGAUUCUAAGAAAGUGGGUUUAAGUUUGAUGCCUCCUCCUCCUCUGGCAUCGUUUUCGUCGGCCGGUAUCGUUGCUACUGAGUCUCGCCAAAAAAUCAAGUCGGCAGAGAAUAGAGAUAGAAGUGGUGAUGGGAUUGCUGCAGUGAGGGAGAAGCUCAUGUUUGAUCUUCAAACAGCGGCGGAUAAGAUGAAAGAUGCAAUUUUGAGGGAGAGGCUUGAGCCAGAUGAGCAACAUGAUAAUCUACCAUCGUUGGUGCAGGCGCCGGCGACUUUGGUGGCAACGGUUGCUACUACUGCAUCGGAGAUUGCUGAGGCAGCUGCGCGACCAUGGAACUUAAGGACUAGGAGGGCGGCCUGUAAGGCGCCGUCUGGUAACAGAUGCUCCUCGGCCGGUGCCGGGACCAGUAACGGUGGCAGUGGCGAUGAUUUUUCACCUGAAAAGAGUUUGAAGGUGGAUUUGGCGAAGCCCAAUUUUGGGGCUUCACCAUCGAGGGUAGCGGUGGUGGAGAACAAUAAGUCGUCACCAAGGCUGAGGAGUGGUGGCGCCACCACUGCUACCGCUUCUCCGAGUAAUGAGAAGAAAGAAAGAGCUAAGUUUUCGGUUUCUAUCACACGACAAGAGAUCGAAGAGGAUUUCUUGGCUAUUGCUGGUCGAAGGCCACCUCGCAGGCCUCAGAAACGUAGCAAAUAUAUACAAAAAAAUUUGGAUGUAAGUCAAUUUCAUCCCUCGUACAUUUGAUUGUCAUCUGCAAUUGAUACUUGCAAGAUUUGAUUUUUAUAAAUGUGGGAUUUUUAUAUGCAUUUUUAUUAUGGUACAUUUUACUGUUUCAUUGAUUUUGAGGUCUUAUGUUAAUUGGCAGACUUUGUUCCCGGGCUUGUGGUUGAUAGAGAUUACUGCAGAGAUGUACAAAGUUCCUGAAACGCAGUAGCUGUAGAAAAGUGAUGGUUUCUUUCUGAUGCUAAAUGAGUAGUAAUCAGAGGAAAAAUUUUGGAACGAUUGAUUAAAUUCAAGCUGUCUAAUUCUUUUUUUUUUUUUUUUUUGCAGAGGUGGGGUUUCUGCAUUGCUGACUAAACAAGUGUAAUUGUGAAUGACUACUGAUCAUCGACUAAUGUAGUGGUAUACUGCGUAACCAACCUCUGGGAAUGCACUAUAAAUUUGGGAUUUCCUCCAAUAGCAAGUAAUGUAAAAAGAAAGCACUGUUGCUGGAGCAAUUCUAAUUGUUGCUAUCUCAUGAUUUCUCUUUAUUCGUAAUUUUCUUUCUGCUUUUGGAAUAAAUUAACUUGUUCAUAAAUGUUGAUUAGUGUCUUUACAUUGAAGACAGUGCAUUAUCAAAUCAUCUUUUUGUUUCAGUCUCUACCAAACUCAGUGUGCCUUACUAAGCUUGCACCAAAAUGCUGUCACUAAGGUUGUGGUUAAUGAUUAGUUCUACUAACAAACUAACAUUACUGAGAGUAGUGCUUUUCUAGUGCUACGGUGAUUCUUUCUGUUUUUCUUUUUUUUUUUUUGGUUUUUUUGGGUAGGGGGUAGUGGUGGUCUUCAUGUUGGAAACCAUGAGGUUAUAGAGGUAAGGUAUGGUUUAAUGGUACUGUGUUGCUAUUGUUUUUUGGUCUACCUGUAUAUGCAGGCAAACAUCUUGAACUGAAAGUUGAGGUAUCGACUUCAGUCAUUGAUCUCAAAAGCUUUGUAAUUAUCUACGUAUUGCUAUAAUAUAUAGUACUGUAACUUGCCCUUCUCCUCCUUGGAUCUUGUUUCCUUGUGUAACCGCUAUACUCUUUCAGUUUUGCUGGUUUCGUUCAAAUUUUAAGUCCUUAUCUACUUGCAGUUUUGCUACUUGGUAGUAUCUUUCUUUCUAUCAUACCCAAUGAUGGACUACCAAUUGUCUUCAACAUGGCGUUUGAUUUUGAAUCUAAUCACCAGCAAGUUCUUUCUGCUGUUCUUUGACAUCGACUUGAAACAGAGAAAUGAUGUUUUUAAUUGGUUUGAUAAAGUUCAAAAAUACUUUAGAUCAUUAUGUACUAAUAAUAUAUAGUUAUCUUCCAUUCCUGUUUUGGGAAUGUUAAAAUUGCCAGCAGAAAUGGCCUAGUUUACAAAUUACACUAGAAUCUAAACUUUCAUGAAUUCUACAGACUACAGUUCAGUCUCCAAACAACUUUCGAGUAGUUUUUGAAGACAAUGGUAUGAGAUGCUAACAAAUGUAAAUUAUAUCUUGUUUUCGUUAGGCUAAACAUCUGUUUUAGUCAAUUUAGUCCCUGCACUUGUAAAUUGCUUAUUCAGACCUCAAUUUGUUACAAAAAUAGAUUUUCUCGCUAAACUUUUGUUUUAGCCAAUUUAGUCCCGGCUAUGAUACUUUCAGCGCAUUUGGUCCUUAUCAUAAUAAUCUGAACUGAAAUGGUCUUGACGGCAGCUUUCAUUCGAUUGCAAUUUGCCUUUUGGAAGCUAAAUUUUUUUAUUAAUCAUAUUUCUAAAUCUAUAUUUUGUGGCUUGAGAAAAACAUGUAUUUAUAUAAAAUUGACACUUACCAGUAAGAGCUAAUGGUAUGAAACUAACAACAUUGUUAUUGAAACCAUGCUUAUUAUUCGUGUGGGAUCUGGAGUUAGCUUAAUGAUCAAUCAAAAUAUAGCCAUUCAUUUUGUCGACAGGUGUUUAGUGUUUCCUUAAUUCAUGCUUUUCUCACAUUCAAGCACCAAGGAGUUUUACAGCACUUCGGAUUAGUUUCAGGCAUUUGGAGCCCAUAAAUAUCAAACAGAGCCAUUAGUUUUCAUCAAGGACUUGGUUCUCUUUUACCUUUAAAGUAACUAUCUUUAACUUUUCAUAAAUGUAUAUGCUUUUAGAUUUAUCACUUGACGCAAAUAUUUAAUCGCUACUCCUUUUUUUCUUUUUUCAUUUAUGUGUUUAUUUUUCUGUUUGUUGCAUAUUUCUUCUAUUUGAAAUUAUGUUUUUCUAUUUACCUAUUUAAAGUGAUUAAUAAUUAUUUUUAAUAUACUAAUCAUUAGGUGAAAGUUAUGAAAAUGGCUAUAGUUUUUACGAGUAAAUUUAUUUUCUAUUGCACAUUAAACUUAUAAUAUAUUCUAAAUAGCCAAUAAAAUUGGUACAUAAUAAAUUAAUAUUUUAUUUUUGUGUCUAAGUGCUGCAGAGAAUUUUAAUUAGAAAUUGAAAGGUAUUCCAAAUUAUGGCAUAUUGCGAUGGUAUAUUCUUUUGUUGAUUCUACUAAUUUAUAAUUUUUUUAUCUUAUAUACAAAAGACAUGCCCAUUUUGGUCAUUAUUCUUAAUACGAUACAAAAAAUAAAGGAACUCAAAUUUAUUUAUAAUAAAUACACAAAACAGAUGUCAAUGUACUAUUUUCAUGCAAUCUGAGUAAGAUUUCUGUGAAUCCAGAUAUAUACAGGUAUACAAUGAUGGUAUGAACCAACGAUGAGAUGGAAGAUCUCUUCCAAACCAUGUAUAUAAUAGAAGUCCACUUUAAUAAUAAACAAAAUCGAUGUUUUGAACUGCUACUCUGCUAUAAGAAUUUACAAUCAUUGAUAUCUUUUCAUGCAAAUUUUAGAUCCAAAUCUAGUUCUUAGAAGCAAACAAAUGAUCAUGUUCUGAAUUACUAAUAUUGAGAUAAAAAUUUGACUAAAAGAAACGUUCAAAGUGCAAAAAGAACUAAAGUAACACCAUAUGUCUAAUCAUCUAAAAAUGACAGAAAGCAUUAUUAAAAUAAAAUUUCAAAUACAGUUUCUACAAUUGAAUCUAAAUAUUUUUUGUUGGAGACAUAAACAUUAAUGUCAAAAGGAUUGUAUAAAUUCUAAAAACUUAAUUUUACAAAUUCUACAAUUGAGCUAUCUACUUAUUACAAUGAAAUCGCAUAAUCUAAAAUAAAAUCUUAUUCUUGUGUUCUUAAUUCUAAUUUUUGUAGAAAUUUUACAAUCAAGAAACCAUAUAUGACAAUCAACAUAACAUUUUUUUCAUUUUUUUUACCAAAAAUAGUAUAAAAAUCUUAAAUAAGAUAGACACGUGCUAAAAAUAUUAGUUCAAAUGUUGAUUCUAGAGAUGUAUUUAUGUAUAUUAUUUUUUUUACUUUCAAUAGAUCUUUUAUUACUAGUCGAAAUACAUGCUAAACGUAUCUCAAGAAGUUAAAUUGAAUCAAUUAUCAAUUAGGAUGAACUGAUAAUCACUAAUAUUGUUAGCAAAAUUAAUAAAAUAAAAGAUGGUGCAAAUUAAUGAUAAUGUAUUAUUUUAUUUUUGCUAUGAUAGUUUGACACAUUUUAAUCAUUUUUGGUACAUUUUUAUUGAUUUGGUAGUUCAUUUAUACUAAUUAUUUUGCUAAAAUUAUGAAUAGUUGGAUUUAAACAAAAAAUUUUUGAGAGAGUAUAAGAUCCAAAGUAUCCACAAUUUAGAGUUUAGGGUGUAAGUAUCCAAAAUUAAAGUUUAGAGUGCAAAAUAUAAAAAUGAUAUAAGUUUGAGAGUGGAAAGUGGAAUCAAUUUUGUCAAUUAUCCUUGAUGGUGAUGAGAGGACGUGUUCAUAACAAAAUUUCUCUUUUUAAUUAUAAAUUUUGGCCUUAUUUACAUCAAUAGAUUAAAUAUCAUUUUAUAUAAUUAUUUUGAUCACACAAUAUAGACAAAAUAUAUACACCCAUAAAGAAAAAAGGGACAUGAUAGUAAUUUGAUAAUUUUACCUAACCUACAAAUACUAUACUCGCUUCAGUUAAAAAUAUUUUUAUUUAUUAUGAACGUUUAAAAUAAUCCAUUCUAAACUUAAAAGUUUUCAACAAGUAACAUAUUUGAACAUUGAAUGUUGAAUUGAUUAGCAGACUAAAAAAGUUUAAAAUCAUAAAAAAAUUUUAUGUGAGACAAUUUAGUAUCCAUUCUUUUGGUAUUAUAUGUUUGAAUUAGAUUGAAUAUUGGAUGGUGAGAUCAAUUUGUUUGACUCUUAGAACAAUUUUACAAAUUUAAAAUACGAAUAAUUAUCAAUCUCAUAAGUUACAAAUGUAAAUGGAAAGGAUGGAUUGUUUCUAAUAUUGUUUUGGAUGGUAGGUGAAAAAUCUUUUAAAACCUUCAAGACAUCCUAAUUUUAACCAUUAAACAAUAUCAUUCAUCAUAAUAUAAGACAAUUGGCAAACAUAGAAGUUAUCAACUUAUUUGAUUUAUAAGUCUAGUGAUAUAUAUAUAUAUAUAUAGAUACACACACAUAUAUGUAUGUAUGUAUUUAUUUAUUUAUUUAUUAUUGUAGUAUUACCAAUAAUGGUGUGUACAAUCUUUUUCAAAUCAACAAUAAUACAUUGAUUGCCGUUCACUCUACCAAUCAAUACUCCAUUAGUGUGAAAGGAUUAUGAGGGUUUUAACUAGUUUAUCUCUAAUUGAUUAUGCAAUCAUUUAAUAUGUUUUUAACAUGGAAGGUCCUAGUUGCGAUAUUGGUCAAUGAGCAAUAUUCUUUGACAAGCACUAUAAGUAUAGGACAUAAAAGUUAAUAGUUUGCUAAUUUUCUAUUCUAAUCUUGGACACUUUGAUAAUAGAAGGAAAUGUAUUGUAAAAGUUCAACAUUAUGAUCAUGUUUAUUUUAAAAAGGCAAAAUUUCACUUUGUCCCCUCAAACUAUAAGCAGAAUCCCACUUCAAUCUCUAAACUUUAAAAUGGGAUAUUUAAAUCCUUAAACUAUAAAACAUGUCCCGCUUUACUCCAAUUUUUAACAGAAUGCACAAAACCAAACGGAAUAGUUGUCAAUUCUGUUAGUUAUUAUUAUAAUUAAAGUUAACCAAAUCCAACAGGAACAUAAGUGUAAUUUCAUGAAAUCCAAAACUUUUGAUACACUCCAAAAUUUUAAAAAUUAUUCAUUCACCUUCUUUCUCUUCCUCCCCAUCUCUCCCUUCAUCCCAGCCACACACUGCCCAUGCCACCCACUACCACCGUUUGCCACCAGAAGUUCUGAUCCUGCCCUUGACUCGCAGCCCUCCAUUUGUUAAUUCUUGUAACAUAAUCACAACAAAAAAUUUUAAAUAUCAUAAACCAAAUCAAUAUCAACAAAAAAUUUUAAGUGGGAAAAGAGGGAGAUAACGAGGCCAUAAGGGAUGGUAGUGGCGGUGGUGUUGGAGGAGGAGGAAGAGAGGAUGGAUCGUGCGGUGGCGGUGGAAGUGAAGGUGGAGGUCGGAGGUGCGUUGGUCGAGGAUUUCGAGGUAACCUUUGUCCCAGAGCCAAGACUCAAAAGCCAGGUCGGGUACACUCAGGGCUAAUGGGUUGGAGGAGAAUACCAUUUUCUUUAUCUCACUACUUUUCUCUUAAGGAAAUUUGUAUUCCGUGAUUUGGCUGGUGGGAAACAAAUCAAACAGGAUUGACCCAUUUUCUUGGUGGUCUUUUGUUCUUUUCUUUUUCCCCUUUUUUUCUCAAAACAUGUUUCUAGAUUUUUGGUUUUAAAUUCAGUUGGUAUUUGUAAAAUUGGUUUUCAAGAAAUCUCAAAUUUGUUUGGAGUAUUCUUUUCUUGAACAAAUCAUUUACAUUAUUUCCGUUAUAACAUUAAAAAAAAUGCUCCUACAAUGUUAGGAUACGAAAUUGGGUGAAUGAAGAAGAGGGGAUAAGAAAUUAGGUGGGGCGGCUAUUCAAAGGGAAGACAAGAAACAAGUUACAGGUUGUGAUAAGUACAAAUGGUGAUGUAUUGGAUGGCAAAUUUUUUGUGAUUUCUUCUAUUUGUGAUAAACGUCAUAUUUUUGGAUUCAUCACCGGGAAGAGAAUAAAGUAGUAAAGUGUGGUGGACGAUGAUGGUAGGAGAAAAGGGAGAAGAUGGUGUAGCAGUGGUUGAUGUGCGGUAAUGGAGGAAGAAGGCAGUGAAGAAAAAAAAGGAAAAAAUAGAAAAGGAAAUGAAAGGAAAAUAGAAAAAAGGUGGGAAAAAUAAAAGAAAAUGAAAGUUUAAAAAAAUGGCUUUUUUUUUUAAAAAAAGGGAAAAAACUGUAAUUAUUAUUAAUUAAAGAGGUAAAAUUAUCUUUAUCUCUCUGACUUUUUUUAUUGGGUCUCAUGAAAUUAUAUUUAUGUCCCUAUUAGAUUUGAUUAAAUUAAAUUAUAAUUAUAACCUAAAUGAAUUGGCAACUAUUCUAUUAGGUUUUGUGCAUUCCGUCAAAAUUUGGAGUAAAGUGGGACGGAUUAUAUAGUUUAAAGAUUUAAAUGUCCUAUUUUGAAGUUUAGGGACUGAAGUAAGAUUUUGGGCAUAGUUUGAGGGGAUAAAAUGGAAUUUACCCUUUUAAAAAUUAUUAGUAAUAGAGUUUAGCAAAGAUUAUGUUGAAAAUUAUGAAGAUGAUCAUGUUUUUAUGUGUAAGUUUAUUUUCUGUUGCACUUUAGACAUAUAAUAUAUUCAAAACUAUCAAUGAAAUAGGUACAUUGUAGACUAAUGGUUUAUCUUUGUAUCAUAGAUGCUGCAACGAAUUUUAGUCAAAAAUUAAGACGUGCUCCAAACUAUGACAUUGUGAUGGUAAAUUUUCUGUUGAUUCUACUAAUUUAUGAUUUUUUUUUAAUUUUAUAUAGAAAAUGUGUGCCUAUGUUAGUGAUUAUUCUUGGUACCAUGCAGGAAUUGAAGGAUCUCAUAUUUGUUUACAAUAAAUACCACAAAGCACAUAUCAAUGCACUAUUUUCAUACCAUUCGGGCAAGAUAUCCAUGAGUUCGGAGAUAUACAUGUAUACAAUGAUAAUAUGUACCAACAAUGAGAUGGAAGAUCUAUCCCAAACCAUGCAUGAAAACAACAUAUUUAUUUCUGAUUAUUCACUUUAUCGAUCAAAACAUACAUAAGAAUUCUAACUAGUCCUUUUGUAGUUAAUUGUGUAACCCUUCAAUUUGGAUUUAACAUGGAAUGCCCUAUAGUAAUUAGUCAUAAUUUGUCGCGAUAUGAUUGUGAUCAUGUAGCAAUAUUUUUUGACAAAAACUAUAAGUAUCAGGGGCAUACGAGGGGUGAUUUUUAGAUUUUUUUUUAUCUUGAUAGGGCACUAUCAGAGCAUGGUAAAUUGCAUGGCAAAAUUCUGUCAUUUAAUAGAUUUGUUUGAAUUAAAUGAAGUUAUAUUCAAAGAUAAAUUAUUCAAUUUGGUUGGGUCUGACAAAGAUCUAUUUAUAUAUGCAAGGAACAAUUGAAAAAUUCCUCCUAACUUAUACGACUCAUAUGCAAAACUUCAUUGGAAGUUGAAGAGGGUAUGUUCAUAUAUUUUACAAGUAAAUCAAAAGAGAAUUGUGUAAUUCCAAAUGAUCUAUCAUAUUUGAAGAUGUGGAGAUGCAAGAUAAACCAUAUGAUUUUUUACAAGAUGCUAGAUCUACAUAUUUUUUAUAUUAUAAUUCGAAUGGAUCGUUUAACGUCGUUCAGAUUUGAUACUUGGAAAUGAAGAUAUUAACGGCAUCAUUUGAUAAUUAAUCAAUCAUUUGAUUGGAUUGAGAGUUGAAAUAAUGACAUUAGAGUUUGUAGUUAUACCUUGUUAUUUUAAUUAUACUUUGUCAAGAUUUGUAAAGCUUGUAAGACUUGUAUUCAACUUCUAUGUCGGAUAUGCUCUAGUUUUAUUUUGGGUGUAUUAACUAUUAAAUGGAUUAAUUUAGUUAGUUAGAUAGAUAUCUUAUAUUGUCAUGAUUUCUUUGAAAUUAUGGUGGCAUCUAAACUUAUUUUGCAAUCAGAAAUUUUGGUGCAAUCUAUUUGUCGAUUCUUUGUUUUUCUUAUUUUCUUUUACAUUUACGUUUAUUUUUCUUCAUUUUCUUGCACAUUUUCGCUUUAAAAUUUUUUACAUGUUAGAUCCUCAUAUUUGUCAAAAUAUGAAUGGCCCAUGCUGAUAUAAUUGCAAAUUGCAAUUGGCAAACUUUCUCCUUUCGCUAGGCAGUCUCAAAGUUUGACAACUUCAAUGCAUAAAAAAAUGCUUAAAUUCUUAUUGAAAAGAUAGUUAAAUUCAUAUUUUUCAACUUCAUAUUAGUAAUUUUUGUAAAAAAUUCAUAUCCUAAAUCCAUCAAAAGAUGCUUAAAUUGUUGUAAAAGACUCACAUCAGUAAUUCUUAUAAAAGAUUCAUAUUAAUUUGGGUUACAAGAUGUCAAUAUUCGUCGAGAAUAGUGUUCUAACUAAUAUUUUUGUAUAAGACCGUGAAAGUUUCAAUGAAGAAUAGAGAAUUGAGUCUUGAUGUUGUAUUAUAAUAGAUAGACAUAGAAAAGUAAAAUUAAGCAUAAAGACAAGUUAUGGAUCAGAAUUAGAAUUCUAGUAAAAUUAACUAAAUUGGAAUUUUGAACCAUAGUUCCAAUACAACAAUCUAAAAUGAUUGAUUUAUAGUUUAUAAUAUUUUCAUAUCCAAGUCUUGUCUUAAUCUCCUUAGAACAAAGGAUACCAAAAUCAAAAGGAAUGAACAAAUUGCCAUUCUUAAGAUUACUAAUAUCAAGCUAAAAAGUGGCCAAAAAGAAACCUUCAAAGUUCAAAAAGAAGGCACAACCAUACAUCUAAUUGUCUCAAAAAAUGGAAAGCAUUAGUAAGAAAAAGAAAAAAAAAAGGAAAAAUAAAGCAUGGGAUAGCAGCAAAUGAAUGAUGGCUUGAUCUUCUGUCCUCAGAACCUAUGACACAUAGCUAAAAUUUAUUUUUUUUUAACAACAGCAAAAUUGAUUAAAAUCACAAUUGUAGAUUAUUGCUUUAAAUACAUUAAUUUUCAAUAUUUCAUUUAGAUGUUUUCAUAAAUAAUUUUUGUUGGCAAUGGAUUGAAUUUAGAACAUUAGAGAUAAAUUAUCAAUUGGAAAAGGAAAUGACUAGUUUGAUCAAUAAUUGCAUUUUUUUUCUUCUUUUUUGGACUUUGCAUUACAGAACAAGGAAUCAAAAUCAAAUAAAACUACAGUACCUUUAGAAAUGUAAGAGUCAGGAAUAUUCAAAAGAAGAUUAAUUCUAGCUCCAUUUUCAUAAUUCUUUCAUGAAGGACUUUUAUAUGAACUAUAUAAGUUAUAACUUGGGAAUGACGGUGCGGAUGAAUUUGUUCGUUUUGUCGAUGAUGGCUGAUCUUUCUAGGAAUGCUGCUUCUGCAUAACCUUUGGUAUCAUUGAUGGUUUGGGAUUUGGAGCUGAACUAGUACAAUUGCUCAGCGAAAGAAAAUGUAAGGAUCGGAUUAAUGUAUUAUUUCUACGGUUAUCAGAAUUCGAACUACUGUUUCUUUGAAAUUGCCAAAAUGGUCUAGAUGAUGGUUUCUUUUCCUCUUCUAUUUCUGUAUUUGAUUCAGAACUCAUUGUUUAAAACUCCUUCAAACUUUUUUCCUUCAUAUUAGAAUUGAGGUGUCUUUGCAUUCUCUAUUCUUGGACUGGUUGUUACAAUGGUACCUAGGAUGAUGGUACUUUUUCGCAAAUACAAUGAAAUUGGUUUGGAUUGAUGAAUUUCCUUGAAGGGUUUUUCUACAUUAGGCAUGAUUGUAGUAAUUUUCUUGAUAUGACUAGGAAAAAUCUUGCUAUUGGCAAAUAAUUAAUCUAUUGAAGAUAUGAAUUCUUGGGAAAAACUCUGACUAAUGCAGAAAUUGAAAUCAAUGGAUUUCAAAAACAAUGCAUCUGAUAUUUUGUGGUGGCAUUCCACCAGGACUAUACCUACUUCCUUAAAAUCAUGAGAGAAAGAGUAUCUUGAACUCACAAUAAGCCUUGAAAUUUCUGAACGAACAUCUACUGCCAUAGUCCUUGGCUCUAUUGAUCAAUAUUCUUUUAAACAAUGCCAAGGCAGAACAUAUAUAGGUAUAGUAAAAGCACAAAAUUCUGAAAAAAAAAGAACAAAAAUAUUGAGUUGUUUUGGGACUCAAAAGAUCAAGAGAGAGAGAGAGAAAGAGAGAGAGAAAGAGCGGAUUGGUGGGAGUAAGAGUUAGUUUUUGCUUUUUAUGUUAAGAUUAUAGUAGUGGAUAAAUUCCAACAUAGUAUCAUAUUCAAAGGAGAAGUGACUUAUUUCAUGAUGGAGUAACAUUGAGCUAUGCAUUAUGCCAAAUGAUAUAAAAGAAGUAAAAAAAGGGAUAUCUAGAGAUAAUAAUUGUUGAUUAAAAGUAAAAUAAUUUGUGCAUCGAAAGGCUAUGUGAUGAAAUAAUCUUUCUACAAGGUUCCCUAUGAAACUUUAGCUUUUUGAAACUGAAAUUAGAGAAAAUAUAAGGUACUUCACCUUGUAGCCUUUACGAUUCAAGAAACCACGUAUUUGGAGUGAAAUGGACAACCUACAAGCAUGGAAUUUGGCCGCAGAUGUCUUAAAAAAUUGUAGGACCACUUACUUUGAUUUUUUAGUCAAGAGGCAAGGUAUAUGGAGUUUUGAUACUUUAUAGAAAAUUUUCUAGAGAAUGUAGAUAGAUCCAAAUUAUUCUCUUCCCUCCCAAUAAUUAUUAUGUCUAUGCUACUUAAAGAAAUAAUGUUUAAAAUUUCACUAAGUUAAAACAUUUUUCUUUUACUACAAAAAAUGUAUCUUAAGAAAUCCAUCUAUGGAAAUUGAAGUUUUUAAUUCCUAUGACAGAUUUGCUAGGUGCUUUGGUGAUUAUCUUGUUUUGCAACAAUUAAAAGUUUGAUAUCAAUGUGUGUACGCGAUAAAAUUUCAAAAUUCCAUUGUCUACAAAGCGUGUGAAAAGUUGUGCAUUAAAAAAAUGAAGAUAGUUCGUGUUUAAUAUUCAAAUAGAAGAUAAAUUAUCGUGCGACAAUAAUGUUAAAAGUUUCUUCAUGUUUAACAAAACAUAAGUGAUGAUGGUGUCUAUUUUAUUUAUGUUCUAGAGUACUUGAAGAUUGGCAAUACUAAUUAACCCUGCAUUUUUGUAUACUAAUAUUUGGUAAAGAAAUGCCAACUUACACUUAUAUUCUAAAGUAGCAGGAAGAGCAAUGCUAGAAUGUGGCACAUUUAAAAGAGAAAUGGAGGUCAUAAUGUUCAGGUUUUAGAGGGCAGCUAAUUGUAUUUUUUAUGACCUAUAGAUAAAAAAAAAUAGUUUGUUUUUUUCACAUUAGAGGAUAAAACAAUCAAAUAUGAUUAUCAUUUUACGCUUCUUUAGUAUCUAGGAAAUUCAAAUAUUUUUCUAAGUUUUGAAACUUAAACCAUAAGGUAGAAGUAAAAAAAUAAAUAAAUAAAAGUCAAAAGUUGGAAAAUAGCUCGAAAUUCGACUAUGUAAUUAUUGUCUUUCCAUUGAUUAUGCCAUUUAAAAAACAGGUUUAUUGUGAAAUUGAUGAUGCAGGAUCAUAUAUAUAUAUAUGUGAGACCCCGUAAAUUUUCUCAUUUUCUAGGUCUUAUUCUAUUUAAUGGCAUAUUUUUCUGCAUUUUCUUUAUUAGGAAAAUUUUCUAGAUAAUUUUUAUGAGUGAAUAUAGUUUUUAGAUGAUUUUUUUAGUAUCGAUUAGUUUUUGAGAAAUUAAGAGCGUAUACCGGACGCGGGACCCGCUAGUGCGGAAAGUUCGGUAAAAUUCGACCAGUUCGGUUAAAUUUUAGAUAUUGGAUUUAAUUUACCGAGUGUAAUGAGAUAAUUAGAGGUUACCAAAUGGAUUGGUGUGAGAGGAACAAAGGAUAACCAUGCAUUUAAUGAAAGUGACAAGUGUCACUCAGAGAGUAAAUCUUACUUUUUGACCACUAUUCACCCUUUUACCAUUUUACUAAAUAAACCAAAAAUUGGUCAAAAAUCCUCUUCAUUUCAAGCUAUUGUGGCCGGCCCUCUUCAAGGAAAAAGAAAGGAAAAGCUCUCAAUUUUCUAGUCUCCAAUCUUGUUCAAUCUUCAAUUCCAACCGUUUAAUCUUGUAUUUGCUCCAUAAAAACCCUUAAGUGAGUGGUUGUGAGGUGAUUAGUGAAGUGGUUUGGAGGAUUAAGGCGCCAAGUUGCUCUUUUCUUGGGUUGUUAAGGUGAGUAACUAAGGGACCUUUCUUUCUUUUCAAUAAUGCUUAAUUAUUGACUUAUGUGAGAUGAAUUGAUGGGUUUAAGUGUUGUUUCAUGACUUUUGGUAGAAUUUGGUGCAUUUUUCUAUUUAAUCAUGAUUUUUCUAUUUUUAUAUGAUUAUUAUGGUGUGGCCUUGGAUGAUGGUUGGAAAUGAUCUAAAAUGAAGCUAGAGGGUGUAAGUUGUGGCUAUUUGCGGAAAAUUUCCGCAUUGAAAGGAAAUUUCGGAAGUUAGGGUUUCAAUUAACCUCAUUCUGCCCGGUACUGUUCCUCCUAGUUAGAGGCCGAAUUAGUCUUGGAUUAAAACAUGAAAGUUGUAAAGGAUGGUAUUUUAUAGUGGCCUGCAAAAUUUCAGGCCCAUCGGAGUAACGUAGCUAUGAAAAGACUGAAAUACCCCUGCUGCCCUGUGUUUGUCCGAACCUCAUAAUCUGCUUCUGAAAUGGGGUAGUUUGACCAUGAAUACGACUGAUUUGGUUAUUGAUGUCUUCUUAAGAAAUAUAGUAUGAUAUCUUAGCUUUCGGAUGGCUUUGGAAUCACUUGAAUUGGACUUUGGUAGCCUGAAUUAUGGUUAUUUAAUCAGAAUGCGGUUCGCUAACCUGUUUUUGCGGUUCUAGUGUGGUACAUUGAACUUUUGACCUAGUUGCACUACAAACUGGACUGAGUGACCUUCUUCAACAUUGUAUCCCUUUCUUUAGCUUCGAAACGGUGUAUAUUGUACAUCCAUCCGAUAAUCGCAGUGCCAGUGGUGCCAAAAUCGCUAAAUGAUGUCAAAAACUGUUUUUUAGGGUUUAGAGUUUAACUUCAUUUCCGGACUUUCCCUAGUGUACUCUAGUACCUAUACGUUCUAAUGGAGCCUUAUUUUGGUAGUAUGUGAAAUUGGUUUAUAACUUGUAAUCGAGUCUUAUUGUGCUUAUUUGAAUGUUUUAGGACGUAACGGUGGUUCAAGAUGCUCUUUGGGCGGAAGUGUAUGAAAUAUCAUUUGCUUGCUUGGUGAGUGUACUACUCACUUGCUUGUUACUAUGUGGCUUUGUUACAUUGGAACUUGAUGCCUUGAAUGCUUAUUUGUACCGUUAAAACUGAUUAAAGUGAGGGUGUACUUGAUCGCUCUCACCCCUUUUGUGUUAUAUAUGACUGUCCACUGUUUCACUGUGGUACUUGAAUGGUACAUGAAAUACUGGAUUUGAUAUCGUUUGGACGAGUAUCCAACGGCCAUUAUUGUCACUACUGAGCUCAACCCCAUUGGUAGUCGAUUGAAUCGAACCAGCGAGGGUUUGGUCGUGAAAAUUGACGAGCCAUGGGGACUUUUAUAUGGAAUCUUGUAGUAGUGAGAAUCUUGAUUCCGAUAUACUCGAGUAUUACUAAAUUUAUACUGAAUGGAGUUCGGGCCCGGUAGGGGUAUGUUGGAUGGAAGGAAUGGAAGUAAAGUGGAGCCUACGGUUGGUUACUUAUAAACAUUGACGGAUGGUCGAUGAAAUCCGAUCAAGUAUACAAGCGAGGAAAGGAGCUCUUGAGAGUCGUCCGUAUCCUUUUGUCAAUUCUAUUAUUGUGUGCACUUGAUAUUGGAAUGAAAUGCUAUAUGUUUAUAUGAACCCCGUUGCUUGAGUGGUGAUAUCUCACUGGGCGUAAAUUCACUCUAUUUCUUUUGUUUUUCUUACAGGAAUUUGAAUACUUUUGGAAUGGCUUUGAUAGUUGGAUGCCGAGUUGAGCUAGUUGUGAACACAUUUUGUAUAGCUCCUCGAAGAAUGAAACCCUAGAUGUAUUUUGACCCGUUCCCUCUUUUGAAUUGAAGGAUUGAACCCGUACACGUGUAAAUGAGAUUGGUUAUUUUGGUAUGCUAUUUUGGUUUGUAAAUGCUUAAUUUCAAGGUGUAUAUGUUUGAUUGCUGUUUGAUGGGAUUUCGGACAGAUUUGGAUUUCAAACGACGAAGGAAAAAUUUUUUGGCGGGAAAGAACAGGGUCGAAUCCGGCCAAAAAUUGGCCGGAUUAGCAGCCGGAUUGCCCUGAGAAUUUUGGAAAUCCGGCUUUGCUCUCUGGCCAGUAACCGGCCAGAUUCCGGACGGAUUCUGACGUGUCAGUUACUAUUUAUGUCCGGCUUCGAUUUUCAUUUUUUUAUUUUAUGAUUUUGACUUGUUUAAGCGUGCUUGUACUUUCCGGAACAUUCUCGAUCGCUUUAAACUGUCCCGUUAGUCCUGGCGAGAGUUGGGCAGGCAAUUCGCUAACCCCUUUAGUUUGCCUUAGGGGGAGGUGGGGCUGUCACAAUAUAUCAUUUUGUUUGAAAUUAAUUUUAAGUGAGAAUUCUCUAAAGUGUAAAAGGCAAAGUCUCACAAAUGAAAAUGGCAAUGAUAGGAGCAUUUAUAUAUAAUUUAGUAACUUUUCUUGAAUAUGACUAAAAAUAGAAUACUUAAAUAAUGAAAAUGUUAUUGUUAUGUUCAAUCCCAUAAGUAUAAAAGGUGACCACAAAAUUUUGAGACAAACCUUUGUGUAAUAAUCCGCAUAACUAUUAAGAGAAAAUACGCGCAUUUAUUUACAUCUUUGUUGGCCCUUUUUAUCAUUGCUUAGUAUAUCAUGUUACUAGACCUAUCAUUUGACAAAAUAUGCUUAUAGACAGAAUUAGCAUAUUCUACAAGAAUUUGUUAAAUAUCUCUACCAGCUGAUUGUUCAUAAAGCAAUCCAAAGUGCCACGCUGAAUGCAAUUUAAUUUCAAGUUUUAUGAUUUUCUUCCUGUCAACAAAUGCCAAGUUGUCUAAGUGGAAGAGAGAUAGGUUGGGUAAUAUGGAAGAAUGAAGUAUGACUGAGAAGUAUCGGGUUCGAAACUUCCUCACUUAUAUAUAAGUAGGUCGAUGCCAUAUGAAUCUAAAUUUUCAAGAUACAUUGAAACAUUGAAAUCUAGAAUAAUGGUAUAUGAUGAAAACAUUAAGACAAAAGUUUUCUUGAAAAUUUGUGUUGAUAAAAAAUAUAAUAUUAAAUAAAAAUAUUAGAACUAAUUGUCAUUAGCAUUUAUCAUCUUUUUUUAUUAGGUGAUAAAGCAAAAUGCAUAAUAAGAAGAGACAUUUCUAAAGUCACAUAUGAUGUUGGAAUCAAUGAAUUAGACAAUAGCUUAGUUGGCAUGCAACAUUGUUGGAUUCAAAAUCUCUGGUUUAGGUUUUGCUUUAGAAAUUAAUAAAAUGCACUCCCCUGUUCUUUGAUUUUGGAAAAUAUAAAUUAUUCGCUUAUAUAUCAUGAGUCUGGUUACUGCUAAUUGUUUUGGAUGUUGGUUCUAGAAUCUAGAGUAUGUGAUCCUAAAUGUACUAGAGUAUGUGAUCCUAAACGUACUAGUUUAAUUGAAAAUUUUGAUAAGAACCCAAUGAAAUGCUCCUAGUUUUUAGUUUCCAAGUUGACUCAAUGUUGAUGCAAUGAAUAGGUUGAACUAUAGUCAUUCUUGAUCAGGACAUAUGUUUACUAUGUGUUUAGCAGGGUUCUAGACUCUAGAUUGUCAUAUGCCAGUAGAAAAGAACACUUCAAGAUUUUGACCAACCAAAAUGAACCAUUUGGAACCAAUAAAAUAAAAUCAUAAUUUAUCAUAAUUAAUACAUGGUUGAAAGUAUCCACAUGAAAUGCUUAUAUAUUACGAGUAUAAUGAUAUUUAGUAGAGUUCUCUUAUGGAGACAACAAGACGUUAAUCGUAAACUGAUACUUAUCUGAGAAUUAUUUAGAUGAUACUUAAAUUUUGUUGCAUAUUCAUUUUGCACUUUGGUUGUUAGAUCUAGUUCUUUUUUCUUCUCAUGCUUAUUGUUCUCAGGAAUUUUUCUCUUCAACUUUAGUUUCUUCUCUCCCUUUCUUUCCUUUAUCUUUUGUUCACUUUCCAUCAUUGUCAAUUCAACUUGUCCACUAGAAUCCAUUCAAGUCAAAAUUAGCUCGCAUGAGUGAUAAAUUAAUUAGAUUCUACAUGAAAAUUGUGUUGGUUGGAUCAAUCUUCUUCCAUGUUUUUUCUUAUUAUUUUUUGAGUUGUUGUUCAUUUUGAAAACAUUGACCACAAUAACUCUUUUUUUCCAACUACCGUUUGAACGCUUACAUAUCAAAAUAUAGGGUGAAAGUCCUCAUUUUUGGACCCCAACGUCAUUGAAGCUUUCCAGAAUUUAAAAAAAGACCAUACGCACACAUGCACACACAACACACACAAAGAGGACUAUUGUCUCUAGAAAUUCAAUUAUAUCUACAAUUUAACAUAAAGAAGUUUAGUUUAUACUUAUAUUUGACUCUCUGGUAUCUUUCCAAUUUCCUCUAAAUAGAGGGUUAUAAUAAUAAUAAUAGUAGUAGUAGUAAUAAUAAUAAUAACUAGUGUGCAAGGCAUACACUAAUAUAUGUGCAAUUAGGACUGCAAACGAAUCGAACCGCUCGCGAGCGGUUCGAGUCAAGUUCGAGUUUGAACUCGAGUUCAAAAUAUUAAGCUUGUUAGGUCGUGAGUUAGCUCGCGAGCUCGAGUAUAUAUAUAUAUAUGAUAUUUUUUAUUUUUUUAUUUUAAGUAUAUAUAUUUUUUAUGUUAAGUAUAUAUAUUUUCUUAUUUUAAUAGUAAAAUUACAUAUAUCCUUAAUAUUUUAUUAUUUAUUAAGAAAAAAAAUAUUAUUUUAUUUAUUUUUUAAAAAAUAAAAUAAUUAUUUUUUAUUUUUUUCGAGCUCGAGCUUUAAAUUGCCGACUUGUCGAGCUUGGUAAAAUUUAGUCGAGACUCGGUUUGAUUAGCCCAAAACUCGACUCGACUCGACUCGUUUGCAGCUCUAUGUGCAAUUAAAAAAUAUUUGUAAAAUUUUUUUAUUAUAUUUAUUGAAAUCAUUUUGAGUUUAUUAUGGAUAGAUUUGAUGAGUAGUUUAUUAUGGGUGUUAUGAUGAGUAGAAAAUGGUUUUAGCGAUGGUAGCAAUUAUCACCCAAAUUAAUUGUAGAUUUACAAAAAAUGUGACGGUAGUUAUCAUCUUGAAUGGUAGUUGUGGAAGUUAUAAAAUUAUUUGAUCUUAUCACAUAGGAGUAAAUUUGGUAAGACAAUAUGGUAAAAGUUUACAUUAAACCAAUACUAUGCCUCCAGUUUUAUUAUAGAAGAGAUAAUAACAACAAUAUGGUAACACUUUGUUAAAAAAAUAAUAUGGUAAACUUUGUUGUUUGACUCAAUAACAAAGUCAAAGGGCAUGAUGUAUGGCUAUCAAAACUUGGUAUCCAAUUUUGGCUACUUUAUUUGCACUUGAACUUUCCUUGAAAAAUUCGAUGAGUGUGUUUGGAUAGGAAAUUAUUUGAAAUAUCAUUUGGAAUAAUUACUGUAACACUUUUUGUGAUAUGAUAUAUGUGAGAUAAAAAAGUAAUUAGAAAGAUAAAAAGAUAUGUUGAAAAUUGUAUUUAUAAUGUAAGCAAAUAAUUUGGAGCCAAAUGAUGGCUAUCCAAAUGAAACUCUUUAUUUGGGAUGAACUAAUUGGAGUUCUUUAUUCUUUGUACUCGUGAAUGCAAAAUCGAUUGUUUAUUCAUUCUUUAGUCAUGUGUAUCGUUUACUAUUUCUUUUCUUCCAACCCAACAAAAUUUGCCACUAUGUAUUCACAUUUAGUAUAAGCAUGUACAGGUCCAAAAUGCAUAACCAUCCAUUAGAAUAAAAGUUGCUUAAAAAAUUAACAGCAACUUGUGAUAUUUGGCUUUCUUGAGAAGAAACUUCUGUAACAUUUGGUUGGCACAUUACUUCUAGUGAUCAUUUUCUUAGGUGGAUAAUUCAAAUUUGCAGCUCAGAAAUAUGAUGUGGUAAGACAUUUCUAUUUACUUACUUUUUGGGGUUUAUAAUGUUGAACCCUAUUUCUAAUUAUUUUAUUUCAAAAUAAUCUACUAUAACCUUUUCCAUUUCUCUGUCUCAUGUUGUUUUAGAGCUUAAUCUUACCUACAACCUACAUGGCCAGAUUUAAGGUUCACUAAAGAAGUAAUUGUUGGAAUUUAUUAAGCAUGAUUCUUCUAACAAAAUGUUCAAUUGGCUCUAGUUUUCAUCUACAUUGGUGCAAAAAAAAAAAAAAAAUUCUUCGACCUUCGGGUAAUAAGGAAUGAAUUGAAGUUCAUCUUAAGCAUCAGUAGACAAAAAGCAUAAUUGUGCCUUCAAUUUUGUAAAACUGAUAAUUCCUUUUCAUCGUGCCUACAAAAUUGCAAUCACCGGAAAAGGAUGAAUAGUUAGAGUUGAGAAACAAAAAGAAUAGGAAAGACAAUACCUAUUAUGCCUUGAACUUUUCUUUUAGCAAAACGGGUUGUUCUAACUAUAAAUCUACACCCCUCUUUUUGACCAUUUCUUUCACUUACUUGAUCGUCAAUACUACUAGGAAUAAUUAAGGUCAUACUAUACAGGACUUUGUAAUUUGAUGGAAGAAGUUAUUGUAGUAAUUUGCAAAAUUGUCUCUACAUUUCACUGACUCAAAUCAGUUAAGAUCAAACUUUAACGAAUGCCAAGUGUUACUAUCCAAAAUAAUAUUAAUUUUUGUACACAAGUUUGACUAUAACCUCUAAUUUUGAUGCUAUACAUAUUCUUUAAUCCAUGUACGUCAACAUAUAACAUAACAUAUUUGUCUGGUUGUAUCUGUUCAUACAUAGAUGUUUUACAUUUUAUCUUUAUUUAUUUUUUCUGAUUUUAUAGGUUUCUAGUAUAAAUUUAUCUCAUAUGUUAAAGAAAUAUGUGUAUUUUUUAAGAUUAGGAUAACUUUUUUAUACACUACCAAUGUAUAAUUUUUUUAUACUAAUAUGUUUAGAUCAUAUCACAUGAGAUGAAUUCAAAUUUAAUCAUGCACAUGUGGCAUACAAUCAAACCUAUUAGUGUGAAAAAAUAACUAUAUACUAUCAAUGUGUAAAAAGUAAAUUGUUAAGGUUAUAUCUAUAAACGUUGUAACAAGGAGAUUAUGCGAUAGAUUUUCUGGCCUAAUUGUUGAACAAUGACCAAUGAACAUGAUACAUGAACUUUUAUCGCUUGAAGAUGAGGGGGAUGGUAAUAUAAUUCUCAAAAACUAUAAGGAUGUCUUUACAAUUUUUUAAACUCGCACUGGAUUGGUGCCACGUUAACAUCUAUAACUGUGGUCUACUGGAAUCCCAUUGGCCCAUUCCUAGCGUUGCCCACGACCCAAAAGAUCUUCAAAAUGUACGAAUCAAUGGCCAAGCAAAGUCAAUAGUCAAUCGUGAGAAACAAAUAAAAUGAAAUAGUCCAUGGUCAAAAAACCAAAAGAAAACACCAGAUAGUAACACAAAAUGAAAAGGAGUAGAAUUAAGUGUGAGAAAAAAAAUCCGAGUCAAGUAAGAUCUCACUUUUGGAUAAAAUUUUUUUAAGUAAUUACAGAAUUUGAAAGAAUAUGUUUUAAGCUUUGGUUAUAUAGUAAAAGAAUAAAUUUUAUAUACACCGAUAGUGUAUAUAUCAUUACCGUUAAAUCUAUAACACAUUUGUAAAAAUUAAAUUUUAAAUUCAAAUUUUACAUAUAUGUCAUUCAUUUAACGCUGUAUACUGUCAUUGUAGGUUAGUUUAAUCUAUAAUAUUAAAAGAGUAAACUUUCAAGUUCUACUUGUAAAUUAGGAUAUUUUUCAUGUAGAUUGUAUGUGUAUAUAUAUAUCACUAAAAUGAGAAAUUUUAUUUUCUAAAAUUCUUUAAAAACUUUCAUACACUUAAAAAUAAUUUGAAACUUCUUUAAUUUAAGCUUUGAUUUUGCCAUCCUUUACCCAAAAAUUUCCAUUUAAAAAGGAAAAAUAUAUCUUUUAUCUUUUGAUAUGAAAAUAUCUAAAACUUUUUUCUUCGAAAGGAACAAAAUGGCUAAAAACCUAUUUUAGGAACCUUCCAUUUUCCAAGUGUGACUAUAGAAGCCAAUGGCAAUUUCUCUCCUCAUCAAGUAAAGAAGAAGGAAUCUUCCAAUAAAAGAAUCUCCAUCUCCAAACGCUGCCUAAUGCUCUGUUUUUCUUCCUCAGUAGAGCCCUCUCACCUUCACUAGGGUUUAUUGAGCUCCAUUUCUUCCCUGCUGAUCGCAAAAUUCUGUAAGAAAAGGGCGAGAAAAAAAAAAGGAAAAAAACGCUUAGAGACUUGGAAAAAUGGUGGGGAAAAGUGACAAGGAUAGCAAUAGUGGCGGCGGCGAUAAGGCGGAGAUGGUGGAGAUGUUUCUGAAAAUCGGAUUGGAAGAAAAGACGGCGAAGAAUACUAUAGCUAAUAAUAAGGUUACCGCUAAUCUCCUCGCCGUCAUUCAAGAGGUAAAAGUUAAUUCAAUCUCGCACGCAAUUGUCUUUUCUGCUGAGUAAUCGUCGUUUGUGUUCUUAUUCGCAUUGCAUGUUGAUAUUGCUACUGAAUUCAGAUUUUUAUGCAGCUUUAACUUAUCAUUUUUAGAUCUCUCUAGCUCUUUUUCCUUGUUGGGAGUUGAUUUUUGCUCGUUAAUUAGGAUUUUUGUUUUGUGUGAAUGAAUUAAAACAGAAAGGUGGAGAAGAAGGUGUCAGUUGGAAUCAUUUAUGGUAGAGCAUAUAUUCAUGGGUCAAAUUUGGCAUGCCUAGGUUGAGUUGAGUUAGAAGGUCUGCUAAUAAAAGAAGUCGGAAGAAAGAAAAUUUUGGAUUUCCUAGCUUAGGUAAAGGAUUUCCCGAGGAAAUGUUUCGUUGAUCUAAUAUCAGCAAUUGCUUGAUACAUUUGUGCUUUUCAGGAGUUCAGGUUUAUGCGGUAGAUUAAAAAAGGAAAAAAAAAAUUCGAUAGGAAGGCAAUGUUUGGGUCUAAUUUUGUUCUAAAAGACAGGUUUUAAAUUUACUUUUUUGUAUCGUAGGUGGACUAUUAAAUUUGGAGGAGUUACAUGUGUAUAUUUGCCAUCUAUGCAUGCAUGUAGCUAUGUGUGCAGAAAGGAAGUAAAAAUUGGACAAUAUGUGUUGUUUCAUUUUGCUACUGCUUACUGUCUGGGAUGAAAAGAAAAGGAGCGAGUUCCUUGUAAUAGGUAGGACCUGUAAGCUUUGAUAAUAAGCAAGGUGUGAUAAUGUGACUGGUUUCUCAAUGAGACUUGGGUGUGCCUUGUGCUAUAUUGUUAGAAUAGCAUGAUGUACUUGUUUAUUUGGUUGGAGCAUAAAUAUUACCUUAGAUUUCAUCUCUGAUCUGUGUAGCUUCCCUCAUCAUUUUACUUUUCAGGCAGAAGUAACAGAUGGCUGUGAUCGGACUGUUGGAAAUCUUCUUUAUACGGUAAGUGUACCAUUGUGGUAGAUGCAGCUUAGUGACAAAUGCGAUAUAAUUAUUUGAUGCUCACCAGCCAAUUCCUAUUCAUGCUUGUUUCAGUUUGUUCAUUUACAAUCUGAAGCUUUAUGGAAACCUAAUAUGUUGUUGAAUAGUUUUGUUAUAUGAAAAGUUCCAGAAGUACCCUAUGAUCUCUUUUCGAAAGGAUUGAAUAGCUUUUCUUUCCUUUUUUUCUUAUUUUUAAUUCUAUUCUCUUCCUAGUCGGAAAUAGUAUGCGAUCGAAUUAUUAAAUAUGGUUAAAUCUUUAUUGCAGGUUGCUACCAAAUUCCCUGCAAAUGCUCUUGUUCAUCGACCUAUUUUGCUCAAGUAUAUUGUUUCAUCGAAGGUCUGUCUCCCCCCCCCCCCUCUCUAAUUCUUAAUUAGGAGCAACUAGAACAUUCAAUUGAGUGAAAUUUCUGCGCACUUGGCAAGUUCGUUUGCUGAAAUUAAGACAUUUCUGUUCCACUAUCAAUCCUCAAAAUUUUAUUAUGCUCAAUAUUUGUAUGAAUUUAUCUUUUUGUGCAACUCAUGUCUUUCUCAAAGUUCUUUUAUAAACUAAAAUAUCGGUAUAUAAGACUUGUUCAGAAGGCCUUAGGUUUCUGUUGUUGCCUUUUAAGUUUCUAUAUAAAAUACCUUAAACAGUGAAGAAAUGUCUGAGAUGUUUGGAUUGGAUGCUUUUUGAUUUACUGAAUUGUGCAUAUUCUGUAUGGCAGAUUAAAACUCCUGCUCAAUUAGAGGCAGCCUUUGCAUUCCUUGCUGCCAUUGCUGGUGAGAACUUGAAGGCUAAUGAGUUCGAAGACGCUUGUGGUGUUGGUAUGAUCAGACAAUAUAUGUCGUUAAUUUCCGUCCAGAUUGAUUACUAUUACUGCUUUGACACUGUAUAAACCAAAGGCUAUUAUUUGUUCAUGUAAUAGUGUUUAGAAGUCCUAGCUGGUUCUGGUUGUGGUUUGUCAUUUUCUUGUUCUUUGCACCUCCUUGUAUUCCAUGGCAUUACUAUUCAUUCUUUGAACUUUCUUAGUUUAAUGUUGCAUUUAUUCCGUAUUAUCACAUGCAUACAGACUCUACAGCUUUUAUAUUGAGCAUGUUGGCCUGUGCUGUUUGUUUUAGUUAAUCUCAAAUGCAACAAUCCUUUAACUACUUGCAUUGGUGUGACAAUUUAACACUAGGCACAUUAGUUGUUGAUAUUAAUUCCAUGAACUUUUUUCUUUGGAGAUUCAACUUAAUAACAGCAAGGUGUAAAUAAUUAACGUCUAAAAACAGUAUUUAUUUGUUGGGGAGCAAGAAAAUUAACAAUAACUCAAAACAUAGAAUGCUAACAGGAUCAUUGUGUCUCAUAGAAAAAGCACAUCCUGCCUAUUGCUCCAUGAUUUCUAUAUGGGUAUAUAAUUCUUGUAAAUUUAGUGGUGUAGGCUUUUUUUAUUGCCAGGGUGGGAUGUUAUGCAUAUUUAAUUUCAUGUACAUGAUAAAUCUGCAGGUUAAUAAAUAUAAUAUUCAACUUCAAACAUUAUGCAUUGGUUUAGCUUUGGUUUCCGUAGAACCUAAAUAAUCUGCCUCAAUGGUCAGUUAGCUUAGACUAGUCAUGAUAUGUAUUUCUUUUGGAACUAUUUGAGGCUGACUGUGUGCAUAAACAGGAGUGGAGGUCUCUGCUGAAGAUAUAAAUCUUGCUGUUAACGAAGUCUUUGAAGAGAAGAAGUCUAUGAUUUUGGAGCAACGCUAUCGCACAAAUGGUUUGUUUAUCUUCAUUUUUUAAAAAAUCUUUUUGGGUUCCUUUAGACUCAAUAUGCUCAUGGUGGAAAAUUGUUUUUCUGCCAUUGUAUCUAGUGUCCUAAACAUUGUGGGUGUCAUACCUCAGAAGAAAAUUUAGUACCACUAUAUUUUAUGGUACCUGGCAUAGCAAAAAUCUUUGUUUUUGGACAUCAGGUGCUGCAGAGGGAAAUUUGAACUGUUUUUGGUAAGCUGUAUUGGCCAAAACUUUGGAGUUUUGAUGGAGGGCCUAGUUUUGGGGAAAUGAAAAAGACUAUUCAUCAAUGACGAGUUUGUGUAAUUUGUCAAUAUAUCAGACAUUCAUUGGCAGUGCAACUACAGGUUUUAGUAUUGAGGAUUAAUUUUUGGUAAUAUGCUCAUACCGUAGCAUUCAAGGGGAGCAUUCAGAGUGGAAAAUGUUUUGUAGUGUAUGCUUUGUGGAGACAGAAAUUUCAGGGUCUGGAUGGGAGGAAAAUUGCUUUGGAAAAUGGAAAGCGCCAGCUUAUUGUCUUUUUUGUGUUGGUUAAAAAUUCCAUCGUCAUUUGUGUAGGUUGUUUUGUGUAUUUUAGCAGGAGCUUACAGAUACAGGUGUAAUAAAGCUGCUGGUUUACCACUUCUAUGCAGUCUUUCACUGAACUCAAAUUAUAUAAUUAUAAAAAAAGAAGAAAAAAUGUAGAUACUGGUGAAUGCACUUUAUGCCUUAGGCAGACAUACAUUCAGCUUUCUUCACAUCAAUCAUAGCGUACAACUUUGCAUUCCAUACCUGGAAAUAGGUUGAGAUUUUCAUUGUGCUUAAAUUAAUAGUCUAAAUUCCCUGACAUGAUUUUAUUUUUAUUUACCUAGCUUGUAAUUUCGUUUCCUCUUUUGUUUUCGUUAACAUCUUCAUAUGAACUAUGCCUUUUGUAGUUGGUGAACUUUUUGGUCAUAUUCGAAAGAAGCAGCCAUGGGCAGAUCCUAAGAUAGUCAAGGUAUUGAAAGUAACAUUCCCAGACUUGGAGCUUUCUGAAAGAAAAUGAACAUGGAAGAAGGAUUGAUUGGUCUUGAAAACAGAAUAAGAAAUGUUUUCGUUCUUCUUCUUGUUGCUAACCUCUUCACUUGUACGAUCAGCAACUCGUGGAUGCAAAAUUAGUUGAGCUACUGGGUGCAAGAACUGCUGCAGAUGAUGAGAAACCUAUAAAAAAGAAGAAAGAGAAGCCUGUCAAGGUGGAGGGGGGCACAAUUAUUCUGCCUUAAAUUCAGUAGUAUAUUAGUUAAAAGUUGUCUCUAAUUUAUUAAUUUGGUGUUAUGCAGGAUAAAGUUUCUGCUGAAGAGACACCUCCAUUGAAACCAUCUGAUGAAGAAGUUAAUCCAUAUACAAUAUUCCCUUCACCAGAAGAAAACCUGAAGGUGUUUUAACAGUGUCUUAUUUUACCGCAUUCUGAGCUUUAUAUACUGACUUGUAUUUGAAAAAUAGAGGCAAGUUCAAAUUCACAUCUGAUACCAUAAAACAGGAAAUUCUUUGGUUUCUGGGCAUGAUGAUGGUGUUUUAACUUCAAUGUACCAUUGGAUUCUUAUAAAGUUUUUUCUCUCUAUUUUAAUAUUCUUAUAAAGUUUUUGGUCUCUAUUUUAAUAUAAUUACUUUCGUGUAGCAAUAUAUGGAAAACUUUUGUAUUGAGCUGGUUUAGAACUUCUAUACAUUAGUCCAGUGUAUAUGGACUUAUGGCUUUCUGUCUUAACAGCAUGGUGUUUGUUUUCAAUUGCAUAAACAUGAUAUGGUAACUGUUUCCAUGUUGUCGCUCAAUCUGCUGGCUACUGCUAUGUUGAAGAAUAUUAGACAAUCGCUCAAUUGUAGUUUUUUUCAACAUGCAGGUGCAUACGGAAAUAUAUUUCAGUGAUGGACGGGUUCUCAGACCUUGCAAUUCGAAGGAAAUACUUGAUAAGCAUUUGAAGACUACAGGAGGAAAAGUUUGGACUCGUUUCCCACCAGAACCUAAUGGAUAUUUACACAUUGGUCAUGCCAAGGUAGUCAAGUUUCUAUGAUUGCUGUAGAUAUGUUAUAUUGAAUCAGCAAUUUGUAUUUUAACGUCUUCACUCUUUUAAUGAACCGUGCAGGCUAUGUUUGUGGACUUUGGUCUGGCAAAGGAGAGAGGUGGAUCCUGCUAUCUGAGGUGGGAAUUGUUCUCUUUAGCAGCUUGAUCAUAUUUUGAAGUUUUCUUUCAUCAUAUUUUUUAAAUGCUUUUUUUGCUGAUAAAUUUUUUAAACUCAAAAUAGAGUAAUCAUGAUAGUUUUGCUUUUGCAUUUGGUGUUCUGUUUGUGUAGUAAAAUGCACAAUUUGAUUUGUCAAAAAAAAAAAGUUUGCAUCUGCUUAUGAUCAUUGUGAUUGGGCAUACAUGGAGGCUGAUGUUUCCAAUGAAAUGGGUGGCCUCAAAAAGAGUAAAAUGGUGAAAAUGGACAUCUGAAUGAAUAAAACUUGUUCAUUGUAAUUGGAUUUGUUGAGGCUUUGGAAAAACUCAGCAUAAAGUGUCAAGCUACAACAAAAGAUGGGCUGUUCACUCAUGCUACAAAACCUUAUUCUUUUCUCCCUCAGGGGUUCAAAAGCUUUUUUUUUUUUUUAAUUGACAACAUUUUUUUGAAUUUUAUUGUCAAUGGAAACAGGAAGUAAGUAAUUAUUCUUUAUUCUGUUGUCAUUUUCCUUAAUGGCUUACAGGUAUGAUGAUACCAACCCGGAAGCUGAAAAGAAAGAAUAUAUCAAUCAUAUUGAAGAAAUUGUUGGAUGGAUGGGAUGGGAACCUUUUAAGGUAAUACUGCAGUGAAGUCUGAUUAAUCUUUCUUUUUGUUUCAGUGUUUACAAUAUGAUAGCCUUAUGCAGAUCACCUACACGAGUGAUUAUUUCCAAGAGUUGUAUGAAUUAGCAGUGGAGCUGAUAAGGAGAGGUCAUGCUUAUGUUGAUCACCAGGUUGGUCAGACUGAAAUAGACAUGUGAAGCUGUUGAAGAAUAUAUUUUUAUCCUCAAUCUGCUUCAUCUUUCCUCAGUUACCCAGCCUGAAUUUUGUAUUAAGUAUAAUCUUUAGCAACAUUCCAGUGGGAACUGAGUUUUUUUCGUCAUGCUUUGGCAUUGUUUGGGAAAUGAUAUUUUCUGCCAUAUUUGUCAAGACACCUGAAGAAAUAAAGGAGUACAGGGAGAAGAAGAUGAACAGCCCUUGGAGAGAUAGACCUAUUGAAGAAUCACUCAGAUUGUUUGAUGAAAUGAAGAGAGGGAUGAUCGAGGAAGGCAAAGCUACAUUAAGAAUGAAACAGGAUAUGCAGAGUGAUAACUUCAAUAUGUAUGAUCUCAUUGCUUAUCGUAUCAAGGCAAGUGUCUCUGCUUGUGCUGGUUUCCUGAAGUUGGAAAGUUAAGUUUGUUUUCCUUUUGGGAUAGUCCUGAGCUGCUAAUUGAACUUUGGAUGUUUCUUGCUAUUUGGGAGUGUAACAAGCCAUUUUGUUGUAACCGGUUUUACUUUCUCUUUUCCAGUUCACUCCUCAUCCGCAUGCCGGAGACAAGUGGUGCAUUUACCCUAGCUAUGAUUAUGCACAUUGCAUUGUAGAUUCUCUUGAAAAUAUUACUCACUCGGUGAGACACUUACCUUUACUGUUUAUUUCUUUUUGUGUUUUGCUCUGACUCAUACAAGCUUCUACUCAUUGGCCUUGAAGGACUACUGCUUAUUGUAGUCACAUCUCUUCACAGUUUCUUAUAAUGAUGUAUUUAAAAUUUCUGUUCACUUAGUUUUGGGGUUGGAUUAAUUUAAGAGGAUAGUGAUUCAGAUUGCCUUGACUGUUGGUCCUUCAUUUUUUUUUUCCGUUUGUUGAAGCAUAAAGAAAUACUUAAAUUGCUUUUGCUUUCAUUUUAACUACUUUCAUCUAAUGAGAUUCGUCAAUUUCACAAGUUCAUAACAUCAUAUGAACAGCUUGCAAUCCAGCUAUCUGGAAAAUAGUACGGUUAUGCAUCUAAAAUUGAACCACUGUGAACAAGUUUAAUGUGAUGGAUACUACAUUAGUCAAGUAUGUUCUCUUGAAAUUCAAGUCUCAUACAACUUGUGAAGGUCACCUAUUGCAAAUGGUCAUGUCUUUUAAACCUAGUGCAAAUGGUCUUUUCUUCAGACACAUAUGCCUUUAUGAUUCUGUGCUAUCUUCUAAUACUUUUUGGAUAAGCAAAGUUGCCACACUCUCUCUGUCUCCCCCCCCCUUCUCCUCCAACUCCUCCUUUCCCAUCCCCUUCCGCUUCUUCAUGCUGGAAGAUACGAAGAUAUACUCUCAUUUGUGGAAUUUACAUUUGACUUGUAAUUAAAAGGAAGGUGAUAUUGAGAUAGACAUUCCUCACUGGUACUGCUUUCCUAUUUUUUGCUGCAAAUUGCGUGGAAUUCUAUCUUUAUGCUGUGAUAGCUCAAACCCUUGCAUAUUCCCCUUUAUGCAUGUCAAAUUUAGAGAAUGUGAUGUGCUAUCUUCUGCAGCUUUGCACACUUGAGUUUGAGACACGCCGUGCAUCAUACUAUUGGUUGCUUGAUGCACUGGGUCUUUACCUCCCUUAUGUCUGGGAGUAUUCACGGCUGAAUUUGACCAACACAGUUAUGUCUAAACGCAAGGUGAGCUUAAGGUUCCUAUUCUGGCAUAGAUUACUGCAGUUUUUCAUGGUCUCCUCUUUAACAAGCCAGAAAAUUAACCAGGCUUGGUAAUUUGAACCUCAAAAAGAGGUGCAUGCUAGUUUGCAUUCUUGAUCAUUGUGCGCUCUUGCAGUUAAAUCGUCUUGUGACAGACAAAUGGGUUGAUGGUUGGGAUGAUCCUCGGCUGAUGACGCUAGCUGGUUUACGGCGUAGAGGGGUCACUCCAACGGCUAUUAAUGCUUUUGUUCGAGGGAUUGGUAUUACUCGAAGGUCGAGUUGCACUUGUUACUUUAUGCAGGCACUGAGUUGACACGGCAUUUUCUUUUUGCAUUCAAGCAGUUGGACUAACUAUAUUCAUACCCUCUUUCAGUGACUCUAGUCUCAUACGUUUGGACCGCCUUGAGUACCAUAUACGGGAAGAAUUAAAUAAAACAGCAGCACGGGCCAUGGUGCUGCUAAAUCCACUUAAGGUACCUUUCAUGUAUCUCAUUUCGCUUUUAGUCACUGAAUAGUGACAACCACUUGACAUAUCAGUUGGUGCAUAAUUGAAAGUUUGUUCUAAUAUUUGGUUUGAGAUUUCUUAUAUUCAAGGUUGUCAUUACAAACUUGGAAGCUGGUUCAGUGAUGGAUCUUGAUGCAAAGAAGUGGCCAGAUGCGGAUGAUGCAUCUUCAAUGUAUAAGGUACGUAAUCAUUUUCAGUUUGCCUGAAUGACUGGGGGUUCUUUGUGACUGCUAUUGUUUUGAUUUUUAACUGAAUUAAUGGGGUUCUUCCUGACUGCUAUUUUUUGAUAUCUGUAUCACUUGCCAAUUCCAGAUCGAAUUGUUGCCUUUUUUUUUAAAUACUUUUUUACUCUGCUUGCAGGUUCCUUUCUCCAAAGUUGUAUAUAUUGAACGUUCAGAUUUUCGUAUGAAAGAUUCCAAAGAUUAUUAUGGGCUGGCUCCUGGCAAAUCUGUCCUACUAAGGUUCUUUGUUUUUUGCUGGGUUUCUGACUGAUGUUUUUGAUUAAUGUUCGUGUGAAGCGGACAUUCAGCAUGUAGAAGUUUAUUGAUUUUUUACUAUUUUCCUGCAGGUAUGCAUUUCCUAUUAAGUGCACCGAAGUAAUACUUGGUGAUGACAAGGAGUCGGUUCUUGAGAUCCGGGCUGAAUAUGAUCCUAGCAAAAAGACCAAGCCAAAGGUGUUCUUGAGGACAUUUGUGUGACCAAUCGUUGUUUUUGUCUAUAUAACAAAACCUAUUUAUCUGACAUUUUAAGUUCCUGCUCUGCAGGGGGUUCUUCACUGGGUAGCAGAAUCUACACCAGGAGUUGACCCACUCAAGGUGGAAGUCAGACUGUUUGAUAAACUAUUUCUAUCUGAGGUACUCUCUAUUUUGUCUAAUUAUGGUGGUCUUCUCGUGAUUUUGUUCUUGCUAUAAUGACAAUGAGCGCUAUUGUUGAUGCUGUUAGAAUCCUGCUGAACUGGAUGAUUGGCUUGGUGAUUUGAACCCUCAGUCUAGAAUAGUGAUACCAGAUGCAUAUGCUGUAAGUGCACUCCAAAAUGCUGCUGUUGGGGAUAAAUUUCAGUUUGAACGGCUUGGUGAGUUCCAGUUCUUGCAUGCAUGCUUUUUUGCAGUUGGUAUGCAGUGGCCUUUUCAAUAGUAGCCAUGAACAAUUAAACUGAUGUCAUGAUUAUGAUUAACAGAUGAUCUAUUACCAGUAGGUGUGGGGAUUUAGCCAAACUACCUCAACAUCUCAUUUUCAUAAGCUAAUAUCAUGCCCUUUCAAUUGUUUAUCAUCUAAUUGAAUGCACUGUUAUUGUUAGGAAUACCACCUCUGUUAGCUCCAUUAUACGUUUUGAUGGAUUUGUUACCGUGGUAUUUCUGUUGCUUUACUUGGUCUGGCUAAGAUUUUGGGAUUGAUCUGGGGCUAGGGAGAAGCACAGUGAAAGUUGUUUGUGAUGGAUGGGUCUUAAGUUUUGGGUUUAGAGGGUGGGAAGAGGAAUACUUGAUGGUGCUGGAGAGAGUGGAUGGAUUAUUGUGCCUACUACGAGUUUGAUUGGUGUUGACUGGACAUCAGCAUGCAUGAUUGUUGGGGAUAAUCCUGUGAUCAGUUAUUUUGGGUUUUCCCCUAAAAGAAAUACAACAUUUUGAAGACCAUGAUGAGGAAAAGUCAAACUCCAUAUAAUAUUAAUUAUAGGGUUUACUGUUAUUUUUAUACCGAUAGUGUUCAAUGGUAGUUUAUCCAAAGCACACGAAACACAAACGUUAUUCAUCCACAGAAGGGAUUUUAGAAAGGUAGAUUUAAACAGUGGGGUUUUGGAGGACUAUUAAGCAGCCAAAUAUUUUGUUGUAAUUCAGUUGGCAUUAAAGAGCUUGCUUAGGAUUUAUGUUUCUGUUUGCUGAGUCGUUUUUUAAGUUUUCAGGAGGCGUACCAUAACUUGUUUGAUGUAUCAAGUCACUAAUAGCACCUUCCUCUUCUCUGUGUCUUUAAAUUUGAUAGAGUUUAAUAUUUUUUGUUUAAUGUAUUUUUCCAGGCUACUUCGUGGUUGAUCAGGACUCUACUUCUGAAAAGAUCAUAUUUAAUCGGACGGUCACGUUGCGAGAUAGCUAUAGUAAGGGGGGGAAGUAGGUGGCUGCAUGGAUUUGUCGCUUGAUGUGCUCCAUAUUUAUGGAUAUGCUGUAGUAUGUGAAAAAGAGUGCGUCAUUUUGUUCACUAAGGCGUAACUCCAGACGAUCUUGUACAUUCUGUAGCCUUGGCAAGAAGGACAAUAAAUUUUCAAAGGACAUGCAAUCUUGAAUGUCUAAAUUUUGGCAUCUUAUUGCAUGGGCCAAAAUCUUCUUAGAGAGUGAAGAAACGUGCUUCUUGUUUUAAUGAUAACCAGACACCAAUUGUUCGUCUUCUAGUAGUUCAUUUUAAGUAUUGCUAUUAACUGGUAAAUGUCUGGUACAUGUUCCAUGCGGGCUUUUUGGUUACGGUCUAUGAAGGUUGAAGUUCAUUUUAAGUAUUGCUAUUAACUGGUAGAUGUCUGGUACAUGUUCCAUGCGGGCUUUUUGGUUACGGUCUAUGAACGUUGAAGACCUGAAGUGGACUCACCAAACCUGCUUCAAUAGCACGAGGCUAUUUUUAUUUAUUGGUGCUUGGUACUAGGAUGACACGAAAGAUGUCCUUAGAUCUUACUUCCAAUGGUCUUUUUCUAAAAAGAAGCGGCGAAGGACCUGUUAGUGCCAUCUAAAGGCGUGGGGAAAAAAAAACGAAAAAACAAAAAAUGCACACGCCAAUUCUAGCAAAUUAUGCCCUGCAUAUUAUGCGUCUGUGCAUGCCUCCUAUAAAGUUAAAAGAGUGGAUCCACCUGCACCACGGCAACAUGAUAUAGACUAUGGCCCCCGUCUAAAUAGCCUCGUUCCCUGCCCCUAAUAGCAAAUAAUGAUCAAGUAGAGAAAAACCCCCGGCAUACGGGAAUAAGCUGAUCUAAUCUCAGCAUCUUUGUGGGGGGGGUUAAGGUUGUUUCAUUUCAAGGGACCGACCACCACGAAAAGGUUAGAGAGUUCAUAUAACGUUUAUCUACAAGUAUCCCAUGACAAACACGAGCAGGAGAGAAGAUGAUAGGAGCCGCGGUCGCACAAGGAAAGUAAAGAGAGUCGCCAGUAAGGAUACAAUCCCCCUUGUGUGGAAUUGCAUACAUUAUUGUGGUUGAGAGUUUAGUCAUCUCACGUUAAUGUGCGAGUGUGACAUCUCAUGGCAGCGAAAAGGAUGCAUUAUUGAUCAAAAUCCGUAAAUGGGGGAAGUAUCUGAAGGUAAGCUUCGCUUUAACUUUUUAGAAUUUCAUCUCCACAUGAAAUCUUAGCGUCGUUGGUCACAUAGUAGAAGAUCAGACUUUCAUAAGAGCAUAGUGAUAGUUGAGGUUGAUGUGACUACUACGACCAAGCUCAAAAUUCACGUUAAAAUAACUUAUGACGAUGAUACUGUAAUCUCAUUGAUCAAAAUUUUAUCUAUAGAAGGUAUGACUACUUAUGUAGUGUGGUAAAAUUUUUGUACAAUAGCACUAACGGGCUAGAUAUAUGCUACAUGUGCAUGAUGAUUUCAAGUUAAAUUAAAAUUUUGCACGUAUUUUGUAUUCACACUGCUAGCAUAAUAUAUUGUAGAAAAGAUUAAUGCUUGUGAUAUAGUAAAAUGAAAAAGAGUAAGGUAUGACUUUACCAUUUAUACUAGCCUUUGCCUUUGUAAGUCUACUAAGGAUGUACCAUGUUGGUCCUUUAUUCUUGAGGAUUUGGCCAAUUAAGCAUCUUAUCCAUUAUUAAACGCCAACUUAAUCCUUUUAUUUAUAAAAAGGAGGAUUAAGUUUUUAUUCACUUUCAGUGUAGUAAAUUUUUUUACACUAACAGGGGUAGAUAUAUGUGACUUGUACAAAAAUUAAAUUUCAAAUUUGAAAUUGAAUCACAUGACAUGCAUCUACACUCGCUCGUAUAUACGCUGACCAUGUAUAAAAAAUUAUCCUAAAAAAUGACCUUUAUUUGUCAAGUUAUAAAAGUUUUAAGAGAAUGUCGAGGGAAGUCAAUGGAGUAGUCACACUUGCACGUGCAUGGUGUUUAAGUUUAGCAAGUUAUUGAGAAAUUGAUCAAUUUGAUUCCUUUAUCUUAAACUCUUUACCAAUUAAUGUGGUCCCCUCGUUAACAUGGCAGACAAUUUUUGAUGUCUUUAUUCAGGUUGAGUUGAGUUGCAUCCGGAAUGUGUUAGUAUGCCAAUUUUGUUAUUCUUUUGUGCUUUAACGCAAAUAAAAUUUUUAAAAUUUUAGCCUCAUGUCAGUUGCACCCGAGUAAAAUCAGAAUCUUUUUUUUUUUAAUACACUACACUAAAUUGUUGCAUGCGUAGAAUCAUAAACUAGUCAAACAAGUUAAUAUUAAUACGAUCUCAAGAUGAAAUUACACCAAAAAAGCUGCCUUAAUUUUUGUGCCAACUAUUUAGGAAAAAAAUGGAAAUGUUAAAGAGCCAGAUUAAUUUAUAGAACUCUUCAAAUGAACCCAAAAUUUAAAAUCAAUACUUGUUUUUUCUCCUUUUUUUUUUAUGAACAAGCUGGGAGUAUGUUUGAAAUACCUAAACUCAUUCUAUGAUUUUUGUUUGAAAUUUUUUUGCAAAGUCGAGAAUUUUUCGAGCUCGUUUGAUCCCUUUUUUUUCACAAUGUUUUAACUAAAAAUGAGCAAAAUGCUUGAAUUUUUUUUUUCUUGCAAACACAAAACUACUAUUCUUCAUUAAGAUUGUUUCAGGCGAGCUUAAGGAUAUUUAUAAAGUAGUAUUCAGGAUUUAAUGAAAAAUUUUGUAGUAUUCUUCGUCCAAACCCAUAGCAUGAAAUUUGUCAAAAGCUCUCUCAAUUUCACCAGCAAAAGGACUACAUUGGCCCAAUCUUUAUAAGUUAAGCAAUCCUGCCUCGAUAACUAAGGUAUCACAUCUUUGAAACUUUAGAGAUAAAGUACCAAAUUAGCCAAAUUUUUUAAUAGUUUGAACAACGGUUCACCUGCAGUUCAUGCGACUAAUCCGUCCUCCAAAGGCAUCUUUAAAUUGGAACCAGUCUUGGGGUUAAAUGUCUAACUCCAAUUAAAUUCUUCAACAGCUGUGGCGGUUCUGCUGUGAUUUCCAUGUCAAUAUCCACAGUCCACCACACCAAAACUCGGUUUUGCAACAAAAAGUUGGCACAUUAUUUGGUCUUUUGUUAUGAAGAUUAGAGACUAAAUCAGAAGACAUUACUAGAUAAGGAAGCGUACUUACCAAAAAACUUAAACAUAAGGGAUCGGGUAAUAGCAAUUCUCCUUAUAACAGAAUAGAACAACCUACAAUCUCUCUUAUCACAACUUUUUGUUGAAUGUAAUGAAUGAUCCUUAACUUAACUAGCUAAAUGGAAGAAAAUUUGGAUGUUUCUUUGCUUAGCCGAUCGGUCUUGGACCUACAGCACCCCUUCAACCUCCAGCCACCACUCGUUUUUUCCAUGGAGGUGAACCCCAUCAGUGAAAAUGAGGCCUUGCACGAGCAACCAAAAGUGAUGGUGCGAGCCUAUGUCCUUAUCAGGAGUUUCAUCAGCACACGAAUAAUGGUCACAAAACUUUUAAAUGGGCGGCGAAAUUGAAGACAAAUAAGGCGUGACGAAUAAGGAAAGAUACAGUAAAUCUCUGGUUUGUGAUGCUGGUUGAGUCAAAUAAAAUUUGGUGCAAUUUCAACGAAACUAAACAUCCGAUCAAACUAACAGAUCUGCUCUGCGAGAGUCGUCGACUAGUCAAUGUAUAAGAUGCGGUCUCGGUGACAGAGUAGCGGUUCGAAUCCUUCUAAUCCCACUUGACUCAGUUGGACCUUUCCGUAACAGAAAUUUAUUUAAAUCCCCAAUAUAUAUUUAGCUUAAGAGUAGUUUAUAUGUUGCUGAUAGAGCUGUUAAAUGAAUCGAGCUGUUCGGUAGUUCGGUUCUCGUUCGUGUUCGUGAAAGGCUCUCGUUCGAAACUUUAAACGAACCGAGUUCAAACGAUUUUUUUUGUUUGAUCAAUAAUCGAGCGAACACGAGCAUGUUCGCAAGUUUUAAUGAACGUUCGCGAAUACAAGCAUAUUCGUGAGUUUUAACGAACGUUCGCGAAUAUGGACAUAAUUAUCAUUUGACAAAUUUUAGGGUUAAUUUUAUGGCUGGACUUUUAUAUUUGGAGGGCAAAUUGCUUUGUUUUAUUUGUUAUUUUUAUGUUAAUGUUAGUUAUAUAGUUAAUGAAUAAUAGAAUUUAGUCACUUAGUGGUUUAAUUGUUUUUGAGAAUGAUUAAUGAUUUGUAUGGCAUAUUUAAGACUUAAAAUAAUUUGGAUUCGAGCAUUUUGAGCAUGUUCGCUAAUGGCUCGUUUAUGUUAAACGAGUCGAACAUAAACUCGAAUUCGAUCAUGAACUUUGUUUAACGAGCCGAAUACGAACAUAGGUUUGGAGUUCGAAAAUUAACGAACGAACACGAACGUUAUUCGAAUCGCUUAAUGAACAAAGCUCAAACAUGAGAUACUCGGUUCGAUUCGACUCGUUUACAUAUCUAGUUGCUGAUUUAAAAAAAAAAAAAUCAAUCAAACUUCACCACUUAGUCACUAUCGAUAGCAUGACUCAUGUUGUUCGGGUCACCCCAUUCACAGUCAUGUAAAGCUUUUAACAAAUUCCAUUCUUUUCCUGCAAAAGAUCGCAUCAUUUCUUGUGGCACCUUGAACAUUGCCCCGUAAAUCAAGCCAUUAGUGAAAUUCUUUCUCAAGAUUGUGAUGAAUUGACUUUGGGAUGAUAUGUAUGGGCUCUUCUUAUCUCUUUUAAGGAAACUCGUUGUAGGUGUUAUGGACUGUGUUAUUUUAAAAUUAUUAGCCAAAUUUGAAAAUCUUCCAAGGUAAUCGCAAUAAGCCCAUCCCCAAGUACAGAGCGGAUGGCCAUUAGUACUAAAAUAACUAAAUAAAUUAAGAUACUUUAAAUAUCAAGUCAAGAUUGGAAUGACUAAUCAAAAGGUUAAAUGGCUUUAUUGGUUGUUAAGUUAACAAAACCUGUUCAAUCUUUAGUAACAAUUAUGAGAAACACAUACAAAGUAAUCAAGCAAGGAGAGCAAGAACGUGAAAAAACUGCAUGCAGUGUCAGUGCUGUUUGACUCAAUUAUUGGGCCAAUUACAAAGUUGAGCAUGUUUGGAUUAUCAUUUUCUGAAAUUUUUAUUAAUAUAUAUAUAUAUUUUGUAACAAUUUGAUGUACAUAAGAUAAAAAUAUGUUUGAGAAAGAAAAAAGUAAAAAAAAAAAUUUUUUUUUUAAGAAAAAUAACAAUUCAAGCAAGGCAACUUUUACAAAAUCGAGAAGGAUUAUAGGUGGAAAGUACGCAUUAGAAACACUAAAUUACCCCCACAGAGUUUUCGUCUGCCUCUAAUAAUUUAAAGAUCCAUACCCUUUUUAUCUCCAAGGUACUAAAGAAAAGGUGAUUUUAGCUAUGAGAGACGAACAAGGCCAAAAGAGAAAUUUGUGUUUACGAAUCAGAGCUAAGAUAAAAUGAAAGACUUCCCGAGGUCCUGUACAGUUUCCUCAGAAAGGGAAGUCCCCACUUUUGAGAAUGUUAAUUGGAUAUGACUACCCCAGUUGAGGCGUUAAUGGUUUAGAUGUUGCAAAUCCCUAUCAUGAAAAGGAGAGGAAAGGAGAAGGCUUAUCAUAUUUCCUCUAGUCAUCUACAGUCAAAUGCAUCCUUCCAUUUUAGUUGGGGAUCUGUACCAUCUUCAAGUAUUAGCAGCACAAUUACUUGUACAAUUGAACUCUCACGUGAUUGAAUCACCCAACACGGUGAUUUGCAAGUCUUGAUAUCAUGAGCUUGCAGGUUUUAAAAGAUGCAGGUUCCCGGUACGAAAAAGAAUCAAGAAAUUGUAAUAGAUGAAUUAAAAUAAUGGAAAGCACGCGGUGCUAAUUGCUCAAUGUGGAAUGAUUAUAAAUUGCAGAUAGUAAUAAUGAUCCAACUUGUGUUCUGCUCAUGCCAAGCUUUCUUGAUAAUGUUUAAAAAAUUAAUUGUGGUGAUCAACUCACAUCACCACCUUACUGAGCUGAGCAAUAAGGACAAUUGAGGAGGGCCCUGCAUUUGUAGUUCUCUGUUCUGAUCUUUUUAUGUGACGAGGAAUCGUUGAAGCUUUGUCCUUUGGGCACAGAUGUGUGGACUGUGGACAAUUGAUUACCAGGAUAUGUUUUCAUGUCGCUUUCAUACUUUUUGAAUAGAUAUCUAGUUCAUUGAAUUGACCAUACCAUUGAUUUUUCUCUGUUAUAGAGAAUUCAGUUAGCAGACAAUAAUGAAUCCCAUUUAAUAUGAUAGACUGAAAUUGAAGACUAGGCCAACCCUAACCACAGUAGCUGAACACUUUUUCCUAAGGUCUCGCUGGCUAGAACGAAAGAUAAAUUGGAACUUUUAGACCUUUAAUUAGCUACCUAGAAAGCUUUCCUUGUAUAUUUGGAUGAUAACAUAUGGACAAAAAGUCAGGCUAAUACAGAUUAAGUCCCUGAUCUUGAACAUAAAUGAACAGUAGUUUGGCCCUCUAACAAGAGCAGUUUUUUUUUUUGGCCAGGCUAACUAGAGCAGCUAAUGAACAAUGCCACUCAAAACUCUAGAAUCUGUAAUCUAGUAAUUAUCUAGAUGCCCACCUCUGGCUUUCUGAAAUGCCACAGUUCAUCCGUGUUCCAAAAAGCACCUGCUGACAUGUCAUCAUUAAACCAAUUAUCAGCUUCUGAAAUCUGACAUUCCGAGAAAUUCAUGUCCGGAGAUUCCAUUGCUUCGGCUGACAUCUCAGGAGGUUGAUAAUGGCUGAAAAUCUCUCCAUCAGGAUAGCUAGUCAUGUCCACAUGGUAACAACUAUCCCCCUCAAUUGAAUUGUUGCAUGCAGAGUUAUUCUUGCCAUAGGUUUGAACAGGACUGCUAUUGGGAUUUUCCUGAGUCUGAGCAGCUGGCUGCUGCAGCAGCAUUAUUCUCACAGAAUCUGAUGAACAUUUUUUUGAGUCCGCCAAUGGAGAUGAUGAUGCCAAAGGGGUUUUAUUAGUUGCUAAAGAAGGAGAGGCGGAAUUAUGAUUGUCUGGGGUAGAAAUGGAAGAAAUGGAUGAUGAGGAGGAGAGUGAUGAACUCUGC